GAGCUAGAAAAUUGGUAACGCUGGUAGUUCGUAGCAUGAUGUUUGGGAUGUUUAGAUCCUUAGCUACAGCUUUAGUGAAGUACAUAAGGUCAUCAUGGAUAAGGCAUGUGAUUUUGUUCUCGGGAUCCUGUUCCAUAAAUUGAGUCAAGGGCUGUCGGAAACACGCUGUGCAGUUGGCAUUUAUGGCCAGCGAAAUGGCCACUGCAUUCCCAGAUGAGAUCUCUUCAGCAGUCAAGCCAUCUUGUAUUGGAAAGAAGGUGAAAUCCGGGUGGUUUGAAGGGUUGGGGGAGUUGAACUGGGUGUGAAUAACAGUGAUAGAAAAGCCCUUUGAGUGAAGGAAGGAACCCAGCUGAAGCAUUGGAUUUAUGUGACCUUGGUAUGGACAUGGGAAUAAGACCAACCUGUUACUCUGUGUUUUCUUUUCCAUCUCCAUCCUUCCUUCUUUCUUUUUUCUCUUAGAGAGACAUAGACACACACCCCCAAAAGGUUACAGUGAUUGGAUUUCUAAAUUUUUGACUGCAUCAUUGAAACCCUUGGAGUUUUUAUAAAGGUGAGUUAUUAAAAACAUCCUUUUUUACCUUCUGCAUAAGCCUCUAAAUUCAAGCUCUUGAUUACUCUUUGAUUUGUUCAGGACAAUGACUGAAUAUAAAAUACACACACACACACACAUCCCGAUUUGCCAUCCCAGUAUCACAAGCUAAUAACACGAUGUCAUAAAUUUUAACUUCUUCACAUUACAUUAUAUUAUUGGCACAGAAUAUCACAAGGGCAUAUACGAGCAUCUAUAGGCGAUAGCUAUUCAGCUACCAGUAGCUUUGGCUACAUCUUCCUGGAUUAAAGCGGUAAGCGGUAACGGCUGAUUCUCUCAUCUCUUCCAGAAGGGAUUGAUGACAAUUGCAGAUAAAAUAUCUUUGGUCUAAAAUAAUUUUAUUGUCAUUGUUAUAUUGUUAGACAAGGGAAAAACAACAAGCUAUGUCUUCAUCUCUUAGGGAUCACGAUAAGUUGAUUGUCCUUGUUGAAUUAGUAUUCCUCCAAUACCUAAAGUUUAAUACCUUUAACUUAAUUAAUUGUUGAACAGUUGUUUUAACCUUAAUUUUUUUUUCCAGGAAAAAUGUGGCUUUUGAAUUGAAGAAAUGCUGCCUCCUUACACAGUGACAUCUGAAAAUUUUCAUUAUUUUGUCUCCCUAACAUUACUAUUUGUCAAAAGGGAAGCGUAGAAAAUUAGAAAUCAAUCUCCUUUCAUAAAUUCAAGCCCCAAUGAAUGGUACACACCUUCCUUCCCUAAAAUUCCACACAUUUCCUGCCAAUCCUUUGUUCAAGAUGAUUGACCAAUCAGAUUUUUCGUAAUAAAGAUCAUAUAAAUGAGCUGAUAAUGAAAAAAUUUGACGAAGUCAUCGUUUUUAUAUUUCACUUUCAUUGUGAAUUGGCAACACUGACCUAAAAAAAUCUGAGUUUUGCACGAAUCAUAAUCAAACGUAAGAAAAUUGUGAAUAAAUUUAAUACAAGUAGGCCUGACAAUUUCUAACACGAUUUGAUAACCCGACACGACACGACACGAAAUUAACAGGUGUUCAGGUCGAUACGAUAACUAAUCGGAAUGUUAUUGGGUAACCCGAUAAGCACCUGUUAAGAUAACGGGUUGGUUCGGGUAUAUAUGUGGGUAACACGAUACACGAUAAUCAAAAUAUUAAUUUUAUAAUUUUAUAACCCUAAAAAAACCUAUAAUAAUUAUAUAUAUUAAAUUAAAUGUUAAAAAUUGGUGAUCAUUGGAUCGGCUUAAAUAUAUAUAUCAUUCAAUUUCUUAAGUGUUAUACGUACAAAAUAAAUAAAUUUAAAUCUACUUAAUAUAUAUAUAUACACACACACACACACCAUUGAACUUGAUGGGAUACAAAUUUUACGAAAUUAAUUUUAACGAUUCAACCAUCAAACUUGUUUGUAUAUGCUUUGAGAUUGCAUUAGCAAAAAUUGAAAAAAACAAACAUUCAGAGAUCAAGUAAUGGGACAAAACUUUUCGACGGUUAUCAACGAAAAAUCACAAUUUAACUGUUAUUUUAACUUCGAUUUUGAUGAUUUUUUACAGCUACACUCCUUGACCCUGAAUACAAUGAAUGAACUCGAUCUUCAAUUUAAAAUAUUUACACUAGUAGAUACCACAAAAUCUUAUGUUAUACUUAAUGAAAGUAUGCAUAAACUCUUAAAUGUUAGUGAAUAUAUUGUUUUAUGGGAUAUGCAUUCUACGAAAUUAGUUUCAACUAUCCAACCGUUAAACAUGUUUGUAACUUUGAGAUCGCAUACGCCAAAAAUUGCAAAAAACAAACAUUUAAAGAUCAAGUAACGGGACAAAACUUUUCGACGGAUAUAAACAAAAAAUCAUGAUUUAAUGGUUAUUUUAACUCCGAUUAUGAUGAUUUUUUUACAGCUACACUCCUUGGCCUUAUAUGAAUACAAUGAAUGAAUUCGAUCUUCAAUUUAAAAUAUUUACACUAGUGGAUACCACAAAAUCUUAUGUUAUAUUGAAUGAAAGUAUGAAUACACUCGUUAAAUGUUAGUGAAUAUAUCGUUUUGAUGGGAUAUGCAUUCUACGAAACUAAUUUCAACGAUCCAACCGUCAAACUUGUUUGUAUAUGCUUCAAGAUCGCAUACGCCAAAAAUUGCAAAAAACAAACAUUCAAAGAUCAAGUAACUGGACAAAACUUUUCAACGGUUAUCAACGAAAAAUCAUGAUUUAACGGUUAUUUUAACUUGAUUUUGAUGAUUUUUUAUAGCUACACUCCUUGACCCUAUAUGAAUACAAUGAAUGAACUCGAUCUUCAAUUUAAAAUAUUUACAUUAGUGGAUAUCACAAAAUCUUAUGUUAUACUUAAUGAAAGUAUGAAUAAACUCUUAAGUGUUAGUGAAUCUAUUGUUUUGAUGGGAUAUGCAUUCUACGAAACUAGUUUGAACGAUUCAACCUUCAAACAUGUUUGUAUAUACUUCAAGAUCACGUACGCCAAAAAUUGUAAAAAACAAACAUUCAAAGAUCAAGUAAUGAGACAAAACUUUUUGACAGUUAUCAACGAAAAAUCACGAUUUAACGGUUAUUUUAACUCUGAUUUUGAUGAUUUUUUACAACUACACUUCUUGACCCUAUAUGGAUACAAUGAAUGAACUCGAUCUUCAAUUUAAAAUAUGUACACUAGUGGAUACCCAAAAAUCUUAUGUUAUACUUAAUGAAAGUAUGAAUAAACUAUUAAGUGUUAGUGAAUCUAUCGUUUUGAUGGGAUACGCAUUUUACAAAACUAAUUUCAACGAUCCAACCGUCAAACUUGUUUGUAUAUGCUUCGAGAUUGCAUACGCCAAAACUCGCAAAAAAACAAACAUUCAGAGAUCAAGUAACAGGACAAAACUUUUUGACGGUUAUCAAAGAAAAAUUAGGAUUUAACGGUUAUUUUAACUCCGAUUUUGAUGAUUUUUUACAGUUACACACACUCCUUGACCCUAUAAGAAUACAAUGAAUGAACUCGAUCUACAAUUUAAAAUAUUUACAGUAGUGGAUACCACAAAAUCUUAUGUUAUACUUAAUGAAAGUAUGAAUAAACUCUUAAGUGUUAGUGAAUCUAUUGUUUUGAUGGGAUAUGCAUUCUACGAAACUAGUUUCAACGAUUAAACCGUCAAACAUGUUGGUAUAUACUUCAAGAUUGCAUACGCAAAAAAUUACAAAAAACAAACAUUCAGAGAUCAAGUAACGGGACAAAACUUUUCAACGGUUAUCAAUGAAAAAUCACAAUUUAACGGUUAUUUUAACUCCGAUUUUGGAUGAUUUUUUUACAGCUACACUCCUUGACCCUAUAUGAAUACAAUGAAUGAAUUCGAUCUUCAAUUUAAAAUAUUAUACUAGUGGAUACCACAAAAUCUUAUGUUAUACUUAAUGAAAGUAUGAAUAAACUCUUAAGUGUUAGUGAAUCUAUCAUUUUGAUGGGAUACACAUUCUAUGAAACUAAUUUCAAUGAUCCAAUUGUCAAACUUGUUUGUAUAUGCUUCAAGAUCGCAUAUGCCAAAAAUCGCAAAAAACAAACAUUCAGAGAUCAAGUAACGGGACAAAACUUUUCCACGGUUAUUAACGAAAAAUCACGAUUUAACCAGUGUUCUAAAAAUCGGCCUAGGCGGCGCCUAGGCGUUGGGCGGCGGAGCCCCGACUAUAUUUCGGCCAAAACGUUCACUUAAGGUGGGGAGGAUUUAGGCGGUCGCCUAGGCGCUCAUUAGGCAUUCUAGGCUGUGUUAGGCGGCAGUCAAGGCGGCUGCAAAUCCCAAACUCACUGCAACUCUCGCAGCAAAUCUGCGUCGUACGUAGAAGCAGAGCCUCAGCGAGCUUCUGAAGCUUGUCGUCUAUGAGCAGAUGAGGGCUCGCCGUCUAUGAGCAGAUGAAGGAAGAUAUAGUACGAAUAGAGAGAGAGAGCCUCAGCAGCGUGAGUUGCAGUCUUGCAGAUUUAGUUUUUAGCAUCUGAAAGGGCUAAUGAAGAAGAAGAAGUGAAAAGGUUUAAUGGGAAUGAUACUUUCACUUUUCGAUGGGUCAAAAUAUGGUUUUGAUUUGAGCUCCACCUUGGGGAAUGUAAGAGAGGUGGUGGAACCCGGUUUUUAAUUUUGAAACCAAGCAUUGGCACACUGCAUGGUUUUGUUAUUGGGGAAUGUUAGAGAGGUGGAGUGGAACCCGGUUUCUAAUUUUGAAACCACCCACUGACACAAUGCAUGGGCUUGUUAUCUUUUGAAAAGUUGGAGAUAUAAAUAAAUAUAUAUAUCUAUAUAUAUAUAUAUUAUAAAUGUUAUAUGAAUUAUUUAGAUAAUGAUUUUUUCUUAGACUAUCAUAUUAUAUACAUAAAAUAAGUAAUUAUAUAGUCAUAUAAUAUAUAAUAAAUCUAAAUCUGUCUAGGCGUUAGGCCUCAGCUCGUCACCUGACUAGUGCCUAACGUUUUUUAGAAUCAUCUUUUUGCAUUUUAUCAUUUUUUUAUAUUAUCUUAUCCUUGGAUUUCAUACAAGUAUAAUUUUUUGUAAGUGUCAAUAUGCACUUAUUUACAAGAUAUAUAAGAAAUUUACCUAAAUCCGCCUAGGCGCUAGGCGCUAGCCCGCCGCUCGACUAGCGCCUAGCGUUUUUUAAAACCUUGGAUUUAACGGUUAUUUUAACUCUGAUUUGAAUGAUUUUUUACAGCUAUACUCUUUGACCCUAUAUGAAUACAAUGAAUGAAUUUGAUCUUCAAUUUAAAAUAUUUACACUAGUGGAUACCACAAAAUCUUAUGUCAUGAUGAUUGAUGAAAAUUGAAGAUUUUGUAAAAGGAAUAACAUGCAAGCUUUGAGUUCCAUUGGCAAGGUUUAAACUUUUGAGAAAUGCUUCAUAACCUUGAAAACAAAAACUCUUUCAUUUUGCAUAUCCUUACCCAUUUAAUAUUUUGUAAUAAACUAGUAGUGUAUGGAUGUUUGUUUAUUAUGCUCUUAUUUUCGAGUGUAGAUGUACUACUUAAACGACAAAUGUGUUUUAAUGUUUUGAAGUAAUAUUUAUGUGGCAAUGUGUGGUAUGUGCAAAUUUGAGAAAAAAAAAAUAUUUUUCUUAACGGAUCAUAACGGGUCGGGUCUGUUAAGAUAACGAGUGUGACAUGACACGACUUGUUAAGAUAACAAGUGUUACACGAAAACGACACAAACACGACAAACAUGACCCAUUUGCCAGGCCUAAAUACAAGAACAAGAGUCCUGAUCUUCUAAGGUUUGAUUUUGAGGACUUGUGAGGACCAAAUGCAUAUUAGCUACAAAUUGUAUUAGUUUAGAUCCAAAAGUUUAAAUUUUUUGACAAGUUAAUAAAGCAAAACAAGAAAAUGAGUUUUCUAAUAGUUCAUGAAUUUUAAGUUGGUUUUGAUUAUUAAGUUGUCAAAUAUUUUAAGCCUUUGGAUCUAAAUAAUCUAGUGGCUAAUAUGCAUUGAGUCGUCAGAUCCUCAUUUUGAGAACCCUACAAGAGCAGGACUAUAAGAACAAUUCAUGCUCCAAAUGGUCAAUCAUCUUGGUCAAAUGGAAUUCGUGCAAAAUCAUCUUGAGCUGAAGAAAUUGCAUGUAGGGCAUCGCUGAAAGAUCGGGUUUCUUUCUGUCGGUAUCCAUAUUCAACGUCUCCACCAUAACUUUACGCAAAUGUAGGUGUUUAUAAGUUAAUGUUCUUGUGAAAUUGGUAAUAGUAUAUAUGAGAAUGAAGCCCAAAGGGAAUGGUUGGGGUGGCAGCUUUCAAGUGCUGCAAUACCAGCCAGUGCAGCCACCCAACUCCUUUAAUGAAGGUUUUUAGUUAUAAUAAGAACAUUGGAAUUGCAUGUUAGCGUCGAGAAAUAAUGUACUUGAAUGGCUGGCCACUUUCUCGAAUCUAGCUAGUGGAUGACCAUAGGCUGCAUUUUGCAGUUAGUAUUUGGCAAUGAUAUAUCGGUUUGUAUCGGAAAGUUAUAGGGUGUUACAGUUGAACUGAAUUAGAUCCUUUUUCAACUUCUAACUUCUCAUUAUUGUCAAUUUCUGGAAUCCAAACUUGUAUAGCUUCAAAAUUUGGAAUUCAAACUUGUGUAGUUUCAAAUGUAAGGGGGUACCUUCGUUAGACAAGCGACGACAUUGUUCAAGAAUCAAUCAGAAAUGUUGUGGUUAUAGGUCUCUUCUGGUUUCCCUUAAGCACUAGUCUAAUUGCUUUGAUACCAUUCCGAAGGAGGAGGUUGGACUUUAUUCUAUCGGAGUUCCACUUCCGGGCAAACCUUGUUUUAUGUCGGAGUAUGAAAAGUUGUGUCUUAUUGUGUGAUUAAAUGUAUGACAUAGAUGUGUCUGUAUUUUCUACUAUUUAUUUUUCGUUUGUUAAAAAAAUUCACUCAUACCAUCGAGUUUGUUUAGAAUCUAGUAAAUUUAGUUCUUUUGUAUGAUUAUAAUAUGUUUUUAACUUUAGAUCAAGCCCACCUUAUUUUCAAAUCCCGGUCCAUCGCGGGCUGUGUUCGUCUACUUUAUAGCAUACAAAAUAUCAUGAAUGAUGAAGCUUACGAUAACUGAUUUUGCUAAUUUAGUAUGAAAUUGGAUGCUACUCUGUUUAUAGUAUGAACGAUGAAAUUUACAAAUGUGGGUUACACUAGUUGAUUAUGCUAGUGUGUUUGUUCCUUUGCAGCCAAGUUAUUCUCAUCCUUGUAAAUUAGACUAGUGUAAUAUCUCUCAGUCAAAACAAAAUAUGUUGAUCCUUACAUAUGGUUGGCAUAUCAAUGGGACUGCUUGAAAGAUACUCUCAACGAUUCAAUUCCAACCACAAUGGCUCCAAAACUGUCCAACUCCUGUGUGUCGGGACUUGCUUUCGGGGUGCUCAUUUCACUAUGUGCCCCCUUUGACCAACCCUUUAUUGGAAACCUUCGGGCAAUGAUACGCAGUCCGUCCGAACCUUUUAUUGGAAACCUUCGGGCAAUAAUACGGAGUCUGUCCGAACCACUCACAAGAAAGGCUUCUCAUUGGUGGCCAGACCCCAUGCCAUUAUAUAAAUCUUCAUUAUCCAUGAAAGCUAUGCUUCCUAGGCUUACAUAGCCGAUAGAGAGUUUUGUGCUUGUUUAUCGAGCCAUGACAUACAGCUCUGGCCAUCUUUCAACAAGAUUAUAAACAUGGAUGGAACAGUUUCUUGUAGAGGACUGAUAGGAAACUGUAACGACCCAUCCCCAAAUAUUACGAAUUUUAUAAUUUUAAAAUGUGAAAUUACGAAAAUGCCCUUCGAGGCAAAUACGUUGACUUUUGUUGACUGUCUUGUCAUGUCACAUAAGAUCCAUUCCCUUGGUGUAUCCUCAUAGUACUCGUUGCUAAAAACUCGUGGGCGCAAACGGAAUGUAAUUUGGAGUUACAAUGAAAGAGUUAUUAACGAACGAAGUUGAGGGCAAAAUGGUCAUUUAACCAUAAAUCUGGAAGGCUCCAGAUUUUGUUGGAGCAUCAAUUUAGUGCCAUGUGUGUGGUUGUGAUCAAGGAAGAAAAUAUCGGUGAUAUCGGAAAUAUCGGUAGUCCGAAAACACGGAAAUAUCGAUGGAAAUAUCGGUAAAAUAUCGAUAUCGAUAAAAAUUACAUGGAAACCACGGAAAUUGUAAGAAAAACUUGGAAAUUUUUAUUGAAACUUUGUAGGAUGUUUAUUUAGUCAAUUAUCUAUUAGUUUAUCACAAAAAAUUGGAAGGAAAUGCAUUGCAUGAUGGAUUUAACAUUAUCAAGUUGAUUAUAUAGCGAUCUGACAAACAUUAUGAGUGUAGAAAAUAUGUAGUAAUUAAUGAAAGAAGUCUAAACACACCAUAAUCAUUUAUAUAUAAUGAAUUAGUACAAUAUUUUACACUUUAGAACCACAAUAUUGUAAAAGCUGCAUGAAAUUGUCUAAAUAAUUGUAAAACUAUUGAGUGAGUUUAUCCUCCUGACAGGAGGAACCCACACACAUCAUCACUGUCAAAAACACAUCGCACGCACACACAACGCACGCACGCAGACCACACCUCAGUCUCUCUCUCUCUCGAUCCUUCUCGUUCUCUCUUCUCCCUUCUCUUCUUCCAAACACACACACACACACAGAGCUCCUCAGUCUCUCCCUCUCUCGAUCAUCCUUCUCCAUCUCUCUUCUCCCUUCUCUUCUCCCACACACACACUCACACAGAGAGCUCCACAGGUUGACAUCGGAUCCAAGUCCAACACACGCACACACAGAGAUCGGACUCACAGAGAUCUCCGAUCUCUCUUCUGCCAAACACACACACAUGCACACAGAGAUCUCUCGAUCUCUCAUCUCCAUUCUCCGAUCUCUCUUCUCCCUUCUCCGAUCUCUCUUCUCCCAAACACCCACAUACAAAGAGAGAUCUCCGAUCUCUCUUCUCCCAAACACACACACACACAGAGAUCGCCGUUGAUCGUGGCUCAGGCGAAGUCAGAGGUGCGCCGCGGAGCAAGGAUCGUUCGUAUUCCGCUUCGUCAGGUGAGAUUCCAUGAAACCCUAAACCCUAAUCUCUCCGACUUCACCCUGCCUUGAAUCGUUUGUAUAUUUGUGAAAUCUGAUGUAUAUUUGUGAAAUUAAUGUUAAGAUUCGUGUUUUUGCAAGGUUUUUGGGACGAAACCGGCCCGGGAAUCGCCCCACCGUCUCCGGCGUUCUUCUCCGACGUCGCCUCGGAUUCCGAUUCCACCGUCCAUGGAUAUUUCGCCGAUAAUUUCCAAAUAUCGCGAUAUUUGGCCGAAAACCCCACGGAAACCAGUUAAAAUAUCGCCGACCGGAAAAAUCGAUAUUAUCGGCGAUAUUUCGCCGAUAAUAUCGAUAUUUAAAUCUGUGGUUGUGAUGGAAAGAAGAGGAGAGAAAUGAGAGGGGUGUUGCCCAAUCGGGAAUGAGGGAAUCUGGACCCGAAGGCCUCCAUGGUUUCCGACGCCUUUCACGGCGGAUUUUCGGCUAGUUGAAGCCACUCACCACCUGAGAAGCGUCAAAUCGAGAAAACCUAUUUCAAGGAUUUUCGACGGAUCAAUGGUGACUUGAGCUAUUUCCCGACUGAAUUGAACUUUGACCCAUGUAUGAAAGUUGUUCCUCUCAUUGAGAUCUUCAUUCCUGCAAAAUUUGGGAAUUUUUGGAGUUGUUGAAUUUUUCGGCAAGUCGUGGCUGCCAGUCGGCGGCGACGGUGGCGCGUGGCCUUCUGGGCCGCCGCUUCAUGGAGGUUUGCACGACGGCGCGUGGGGGGAAACCCGAGAUCCCUUCUUAGGUUUUUCAAUGUGCCGAAUCCGAAUUCGCUGUCCGUUUUCCCAAAUUCUAUCGUUUAUGUAUAGUUUUACUAAAUGGUUCCUAAUUGUGUUUAGAUGUGCGUUAAUAGGAAGCGACACCAUUCUCGCUAGUUCAAGCUGCUCUCGGGCAAUGGAAAACUUAUGAGUGGACCCCUUCUUAACUUGCAUGUUUUUAUAAAAUAUUAGGCUUGUAUUCACGAAAGACAUGAUUUCAUGAUUUUACGCUUUAUGCAUUAAUUAUGAUUUAUUCAAAUUGCUUUUAUGAAAUAUUUAUGAUUUAUCGAAAUUAUGUUUUACUAAAGGCUAUGAAUUAUUAGAUUCUCGUUUAUGAAGUUCUAGGGAUUUACGAAUAUGAUUUAUUUUACGGAUUUAUGAGUAUGUACUAUCUUGGAUUGAUGAAAUGAGACUUUGAGGUUUUGAGUUUUGGAUUUGGAUAUGAGUUUUUGAGAUAUGUUUUUGGUGCUUAUCUAGUGGGUUAUCAUACAACACAUCCACACAACACGGGUAUGUAGAUGUCUAUGGCCAUAGGGCACAAUUGAUGAUAUCUAUGUAUAUAUUUCUUCUCCUGUGUAACCCAGAGUCGUACAACUUCACCUUUGGAUGAUGGGGCCUACCAUGUUUCUUCAGUAGCGUAACCCAGUGUCGUACAACUUCAUCUUUGGGUGAUGGACAUGUAUUGCCUUCGGCCGAAUGAAGAGUUAAUGAUAUUGAUGACAUACCCCUAACUUCACUGAUGAAACUAUUGUCGAAUAGCUUCACUAGACACGGCUAGUGUCGGUGUGUGAUGUUAUAUAUAUUCUCUUCUCUGGCGUAACCCGGAGUCGUACAGCUUCACCUUCGAAUAUGUGACUAGGGCUCAACAUGAAUAAUGAUUAAGGAAGCAUGGCGAGAUGAAUAGGCAUGAGCAUCGUGUCUUAAUCACCAUGGCAUGACAUGUUUUUAAAUAUAUUCCUCGUUGAUCCCGUGCCUUGGCAUGUAUUUGGGCUUGAAUGUAGGCUUUGCAUGACAAUUGGUCUUUGAGACUUGGUUGGAUUGAUGUGUGACAUUUUUGGACCCCAACACUAUGUUAAGUUGCUACGAAAAAUUUCCCAAUUUCUCAGCUUUUAGUUAUGUUAGUUUAUAAUUGCAACAACUUUUUUGAGUGUUGUAGCAGAUAUGCAACUAUAAAGGCUUCUUUAGAAGUAUAACAGUUUGACUGUGGUUUCAGUCAUUAAGGGGGCCAAAUGCUUAGUGUUAUAUAGAUUGCACUUAUAAGACAAAUACUAUGCAUUGAUUCAUUCAUAUCUUGUUGGAUUUUCAUGUGUUUGUUAAUUUCAUGACAAUCUUGGGGAUAGUGUUUAAUUUGUAAAAUGUGAUUCCCUCUAAUUCUUCAUGGAUAUUAGCUCAUGACAGAAGUUUGUUUAUCAUGGAUUUUAAUGUUUUGAUCUCAUGGCCAUUAAGAGCAACUUUUUUUUAAUAUUCGGUUUCGAGUAUGUUGUAUACAAGUGUUGACUCUAGUGGGAAAAUGUAAGACUAUAUUAGAGUUCCACACUUGUAUGUAACGUCUCCUGUAGAUUAAGGAUUUCAUAGACUGAUUUCAAUAAUACUUGUACGCUAAUAAAGAGAGUGUAUUAUUAGGAUUUUAUAGGUAAAGCAAUCCUGAUACGAAUAGUAAACUUAAUCAAAUAUGAAUACUGAAGUUUAGGUGAUAAAGUCUCGUUCGAGUAGAAUUACAUGAUGGGAAGUUCCCUACUCGAAUUCCACCUCUUUUACUAUAUAACAACGGUCUUUGCUCUCACACUCGAUACACAGAAAUAACCCCUUCUAGGCUUAUUGAAUAGAGCUGUGAAAAGGUGAGUGAAAGAGAGUAGAAGAUCAUUUGUUUUUGCUAUGGAGUUGUCACGAAAUAAGGAGAGAUGCAGACACUCAGAAUAUUGCUCAACAGAGGUUCUAAUUCAGAUAAAUGUUUUUAGUUGAUUAUGAUUUUCCUUCUUACAAGAGUUAGUCCUUAUAUUAAAAUAACAUAAGACUUUAGGGGUAUGAUUUGGAAAAGACCUAUUGGAAAUUGUAAUUUCGUAGGUAGACAAUUGGUUUUAUGAAGUAAUACUAAUAGUAAAAUGUAAGUAAACAAACAUAGAAAAAAAGUCGAAGGUUGAAUAUAGCCAAUUCAAUGCAAGAGAAAAUAAUGUUACGGCAAUCUUUGACCCCCUACAAAGAGAGAAUCUUCCGUAGAGUUGCCACACUAUGAUUGGUGGGUGAGACCAAAUGCGGAGAGUGUUUUGUGUGUACGGGCAUAUGGUAGAGCUGCCACGCUAUUGUUGGUGGGUACGUGUGGGACAAAUGCGGAGAGAGUACUUUGUGUGUGCGGGAUAGUCGCAUGGUCUGGAUGUCCAUAAUGAAGUUUUUCUCCUUACGAUGAAUGGAUAAUUGUCUAUUGUUUUGUUUAUUCAGUUACGUGAUACCUUCUGUUGUAGGGUACUGAAGUGAGGAAACUCACGUUGUUGUUCUCCUCACGGCCAUAUGUGAUGUUUGGGUACAAAUUGUUUGGGUUCUGCAUAAAAGCAUACUUAACAAAAUUAAAGCGCAAAUCUAGUUGGACCAUUUUAGUACCCUAACUCUAACUGAACCAACCACGCAUCUUAGACCUGGUUUGGGAGUGAGGUGCUUAAAAAAAAAGCACCCAUGAAAAAAAGCUGUAAGAGUUUUAGGUGUUUGGUAAACUGAAAAAAAAAAGGCUUAUUUUGGAAGCUGCUGUGAGAAUAAGCUGAAAUCAAAGGAAAAAACUGAAGCUGCUAUUUGCAGCUUUGGAAAACUGGUUUUUUUUCAAAGCACACGGAGCUACAGUGCUCCUUUAAUGAAAAGACCCACUAUUAGACUGCUUUUUUUUCCAAAAGCACUUUUACAAAAAAGUUUACCAAACACUCUGCUGCUUUAUUUCACAGCCGCUUAUUCUCACAGCAGUUUUUUUUCAAAGCACAGCAAUAUCAAACCAGCCCUUAGUUUGCUCCAUUCCUUCAAGUUCGAGAUUUGUGUUACCAACUAAUGCAUCACAAUCUUUCCAAAAAAUAAAAAAAAUAAAAAAAACUAAUGCAUCACAAUAUAUAAGACAUUUUAUUCAAAGAUGAGGACGGACUACAAAGAAAUUCUUUCUUGCAUCCAUCUGCAGGAAACUUUAUUCAAGGUUGUCGUAAAAAAUACAUAAUUAAAGUGACAUGAUAAGUUCUACAAGCUUAUUCAAGAAUUUGUAGGAAGAACCACCUUUCCUCAAAGAAACUUCUAUUUUCUCUUUCAAAUCCUUGGCCCUAACCCGCAUCACUUCCCCAUCAACAUCUACCAUCAGUUUCCGGACAGCUCUCUCAAUCUCUCCUCUCUCUACCUCAUUGUCUAAAUGUAGCCCUACUUUCCAUACUUGGCCAACGUACCUUGAAUGCACCUUCUGAUCGCCAAAAGACGGCAGGCAUAUCAUUGGAAUCCCUUCGGACAAACUUUCUAGCGUUGAGUUCCAACCGCAGUGGCUCCAAAACCCUAUGAUUGCGCGAUGGGACAAAACUUCCCUCUGGGGUACCCAUUUUACAAUGCGACCACGUUCUCCAAUCGCUUCUAUGAAACCUUGAGGCAAUAGCUCAAUCCAAUCUGAACCAUUCACUGAGCCAGGUCUGAUUACCCAUAAGAAAGGCUGCUUGCUGUUAGCCAAUCCCCAAGCCAUUUCGGCAAGCUCUUUCUCACUGAUGGAUGCUACACUUCCCAAGCUUACAUAGAUAACCGCAUUGUUAGAUUGCUUAUCGAGCCACCCAAUGCAGCUUGUGUCCUCUUCUAGUAAGCUACUAGAAGCUGCAGCUUCAAUCUUGUGAAGAGGACCUAUGGAGAAGAUUGGAACUGGGCAUUGUUGCUGGAUCUGUGCUAGUGAUGAUUGCUCAAGACAAUCAGUAGUGUUCCAAACGAUUGCUGAUGCUGUCUUAACAUUGUGUGCAUUAACGACUAGUUCCGAGUACUUUUCUAAUGAGUCAAAGUUGUUGGUGGGCAGAUCCUUCAACCUGAGGGGAUCAAAAUCGGGCAGCGGCCUCAGUGACUGAGAGUCUGCAAUCCAACAGUUUUGUUUUCUUAGUUAUAUGCAAGAAAAACGAACAUAGAGUCUGUACUCUGAUUAAGAAAUAUAUAUGACACAUACCUGGGAAUGGGAUGUGACCUUUUGAAUGAAGCUGUAGUAGAGCAGUACGAGCUUGAAAAUUGGUAACGCUGGUAGUUCGUAACAUGAUGUUUGGGAUGUUUAGAUCCUUAGCUACAGCUUCAGUGAAGUACAUAAAGUCAUCAUAGAUAACGCAGGUGAUUUUGUUCUCGGGUUCCUGUUCCAUAACUUGAGUCAAGCGUUGUCGGAAACUCGCUUUGCAGUUGGCAUUUAUAGCCAGCAGAAUGGCUAUUGCAUUCCCAGAUGAGAUCUCUUCAGCUGUCAAGCCAUCUUGUAUUGGAAAGAAGGUGAAAUCCGGGUGGUUUGAAGGGUUGGGGGAGUUGAACUGGGUGUGAAUAACAGUGAUGGAAAAGCCCUUUGAGUGAAGGAAGGAACCCAGCUGAAGCAUUGGAUUUAUGUGACCUUGGUAUGGACAUGGGAAUAAGACCAACCUGGUACUCUGUGUUUUCUUUUCCAUCUCCAUUCUUCCCUCUUUCUCUUCUCUCUUAGAGAGACGCAUACACACGCCAAAAGGUUAGAGUGAUUGGAUUUCUAAAUCUUGGACUGCUUCAUUGAAACCCAUACAGCUUUUAUCGAGGAGAGUUAUUAAAAACAUCCUUUUCGUUUUUUUUUCCUUCUGCUUAAGUCCCUAAAUUCAAGCUCUUGAUUAUUCUUUGAUUUAUUCAUUACAAUGACUGAAUGUAAAAUAUGUAUGUAUCUCCGAUUUGCCAUCCCGAUAUCACAAAUUAAUAAUACAAUGCCACAAAUUUUAGUUUCGUCACAUUACAUUAUAUUAUUAGCACGGAAUAUCACGAUGACAUAUAAGAGCAUAUAUAGGCGAUUUUUAUUUUUUAUUUCCAAAUUAGAAGGAUUUGAAAUUGUUGCUAUACUUUAGGAGAGGGGGGGGGGGGUUCAUGUAGUUAGAAAUUUAACACUAUCCACUAAGAUAUCAAAUCACAUGCAAAUGCUUAGGUAGGCGAGUUUCUCGCUAACAAUAUAGCAGUUUUUAACCAUGCACAUGUCACCAUAUUUUUAAUGCAACAUUUAUACCACCUCGCUAUAGAGAUAGGGUGAUCAACAUAUGUAGAAUCCUAUCUUUGUAAGAAAGAUGAUAAGAAUAUGGUAUGAAAAUGUGGUAAAAGUAUCAUUUAGUUAGUAAAAUUGUAUUUUCCAUUGAACUUCUCUUUUGGAGGAUUCAUAGCAUUUGGUUGGUGGAAUUAUUGAGAUUAGGUUAAGUUUACCUGUCCUUGUUGAAUUAGUAUUCCUACUGUUAUAUUGUUAGACAAGGGGAAUCCAAGAAGCCGUGUGUCUUCAUCGCUUUAGAGAAUAGGAUAAGUUACUUGUCAUUGUUGAAUUAGUAUUCCUUCAAUAACUAAAGUUUGUUUUUUUUGUCUUUUUUUGAGAAAAGGUACGUGUUGAAUUAGUAUUCUUUCAAUACCUAAAGUUUUUUUUUCUUUUAUUUUUAUUUUGAGAAAAGGUACUAUAUUCAUUAACGAUUGGAGUACGUACAAUUAAUGAGGAUAUAAUGCAUACAUUGGACCUUAAUAAAAAUUUUGCCAAGGAUUUCAACUCGAUUGAAGAAAAAAAAAAGUGUCCCACACCAAACAAAUAAGGAAUUACUAUCCUCAAAGAGAUGAUCCAUAAUUACAUCAGGAGGUUCUUCAAAUCAAAAAGUAGGAUUAUCAUAAGUCAGACUCAUUCGUGCUAAUUUAUGCACCACUUUAUUCGUCUCUUUCCCUCUAAAACCAAUUUUUCAUUGGGGCAAGGCCUUAAUUAAUUGUUGAACGGUUGUUCUAACCUUUAAUUAAUAGGAAAACUAAAGAAAAAUCCAAAAAAUAUCAAUUUUAAUGAAAAGUCCAUGUUAUAAGUAUAGUGAAUAGUACCAGAAAAAUGUAUAAAUGUGGUUUUUCGUAAUUUCAGGAAACAUGUGGUUGUUGAAAUGGAGAAAUGUUGCCUCCUUACACAAUGACACUUGUAUUUACCAUCUUAACUAAAAAAUUCUAAACACCACCAACAAUUAAAAUAUUACUACAAUAAAUCACCUACAUACACAUCCUUUUUUUUUUUUUUUCCAUAAAUCAAUAUUAUAAAGGGAAGUGAUUUCUAAGCUCAAUUUUAUCCAUUAAUUAGUUGGAUCACAUACCUUGCAUGAGCCCACUUUUCGAGCUCAAUUUUGUAAGGGAAAAUGAUUUUCACUCUUUUUAUUUUUAUUUUUUCAAAAGGAAAGGGUAGAAAUCCAAAAGUUGGAGGUCAUAAAUUCAAGCCCCACAGAAUAGUACACACCUUCCAUCCCCAAAAUUCCACACCUUCGUUGCCAAAUCCAAAAGUUGGACCAAAAGUUGGAGGUCUUAACACGCCUCACCUUUUAUAAUUCUGUUGAAGAUGAUUGAUCAAUCAAUUUUUCGUAAUAAAGAUCAUACAAAUGAGCUAAUAAUGAAAAAUUGAAAAGUGAUCGUUUUCAUUUUUGACUUUUAUUUCGCUUAUGAAUUGGCAAAAUUGACGAAAAAAAUAUAAUAAAAUUGUGAAUAAAUUUAAUAUAAUGGUUCAUGAAUUUUUAAGUUGGUUUUGCUUUAUUAAUGUAACGACCUGUCCUCAAAUAUUACGGUUUUAUAAUUUUAAAACACGAAAUUAUGAAAAUGCCCUUCGAGGUAAAAACAUUGACUUUUGUUGACUGCAUUGUCAGGUCACGUAAGAUUCAUUUCCUUAGCGUAUCCUUAUAGUACUCGUCGUUACGAAUUCGUGAACACAAAAAUGAAUGUAAUUUGGAGUUAUAACGAAGAAGUUAUAAACAAACAAAUACAAUGGCAAAAUGGUCAUUUGACUAGUAUUUAGAAGGCUCCAGAUUUGCUGAAGCAAUGUGAUGGAGCCACGUGUGUGGCUGUGAUAGAAAGAAGAAAAGAGAAAAUGAGAGAAAUGAGAGAAUAAGAUGCCCAAUCAGGAAAGAGGGGAAAAAUAGGGAACCAAGGAGAAAAUAAAUAAAGGAAGGAAGGAAGAGGGAAGAAAAGCACCAGAUUAUACUUGACCUAACGACCCAACCCGAUUUAACUGAACUCUCGUGAGUUUUAUGACGAUUUUCCGUCAGUUUUUCGACGAGUUUCUUCGAGCUACCACCUGGAAAAGCGUUUCUGACAUUUCCUCUCUAAUUUCUAUAAAAAAAAAAACCCGCCAAUUUGGCCCUAAUUCAUGACGAUCGAAGCGGACGGCUUCGAGGACACCAAGGCAGCGAUCCUCCACUCCAACAACCUUCACCGUCGAUGACUACCACUAAAAGACUUUUCUUGAGGCCAGGAACAAACCCCAAACCAUUUUGGGGGCAGCGGAUUGACGGAAUAGAUGAAUCAAAGCUCACAUUUUUUAUGGUUUUUCGGCUGAUCAAGGUGGUUUUCAAGUAUUUCCCGGCCGAAUUGGACUUUGGCUUAGGUAUGAAAGUUCUUCCCCUCGAUGAGCUCUACAUUUCUGUAAAAUUUGGUAAUUUUUGGAGUUGGUCAGAAAAUUGGGUUUCCGUUACUGGAAAUCGCAGCGUGCGCCGGCGCGUGGCUUUCCGGACAGCCUUUUCGUGACAGCUCGUGCGGUGGUGCGUUAGGGGGAACCGAGGUCCCUCCUCAAGUUUCUCGACGUGCUGAAUCCAAAUCCGCUUUCCUUUUUCCAAAUUCCAUCGUUUUAGUAGAGUUUACUAAAUGGUCUCUAAUUGUGCUUAGGUGCAUCGGUGGGCAGUGGCUCCAUCCUUGCUAGUGUGAGCAGCUCGUAGGCAAUGGAAAAUCAGCAAGUGGACCCCUUCUUAACUUGUAUGGUUUUAUAAAAUAUAAGGCUUGCAUUUAGAAAAAGUAUGAUUUCAUGAUUUUACGUUUUAUGCAUUAUUUAUGAUUCAUGUUACGGUUUCCGAAUAUGAGAUGAAUUAUGGGAUUUUCAUACAUGGAAUUCUAUGGAUUUACGAAUGUCAAUUAUCAUGUUUUCAUGAGAUGAGGCUUUGUGUUUUAGAGCUCCGAAUUUGAUAUGAGUUUUGAGGUAUGUUUUUGGUGCUUAUCUAGUGGGUUAUCAUACAACACAUCCACUCAACAUGGGUAUGUAUGACACGCCCGACCCUGAUAUUCUCCAAACACCAGGGUAGGCACGUGCAAGGCGACACCUGAAGGUGACCAAGCCAUAUUAUGAUGCAUGAGAACUAGAAAUAAUUAACCGACAUAACUAAAACUUGUAAAUUUAAUUAUAAUGAAUAUGCAUUUAUGGAAAGUGUUCAAAGCAUACAACUAAUCCGAGACAAUAAAAAUGAAUAAUAUAAAAUUGAAUGAACAAAAGGACGGGUUCUACACCGAGAGGACUCGAAGAUGCUGAUGCGGGAGUGCCUUGAUGUCGGGAUUGUACGCCUCGAUUCUAAGUCCUGAGGGGGCGCAAAUCAAAACAUGAGUGGACCAAGUUGGUAUAGAUAGUACUAAAACAGUUAUUCAUUAACGUACUAACCCCCAAAGUUUAUGAAAACUCAAUAGUAUAAUAUGUAAUAGGUUUUCCAAAAACCCUAGCAUGCCAUAAAACCUUCGUAAAACAUAUAUCAUAUAUAGCGUGGUAAGUAGUGGUACCAGUAUUGCCCAAAGGCAUAUAAAACUCUUCAUUCAUCUGAAGGCAUAUAGAACACUUCAUUUAGAAUACUUCCUUCAGAAUACUUCCUUUAGAACACUCCAUUUAGAACACUUCAUUCACCCGAAGGCAUAUAGAACUCUUCCGACCGAAACCAUAUAAAUAUCUUCCACCCGUAGGCGCUACACACACCCGACCGAAGCCAAUAUAAAUAUCAUUCGCCCGUAGGCCCUACACACAUCCGGCCAAAGCCAAUAUAAAUAUCAUUUGCCUGUAGGCUCUACACACGCUUGGCCGAAGCCAAUAUAUAAGUAUCAUCACCCGUAGGCAGAAUAGUGAACACAAGAUAAGCACAAAAAUCAUUAGACAUAAUAUUUCCAAACAUAAGUACAUAUAUCUCAACGGAGUUCAGUAGCCCAAACAUCAUAUCUCAAAACAUCUUCAUAGUAUAUAGUCAUCCAUCAUAUAUACUACAAAGAACGUAAAAACCGAUAAAGUAUGGUAUUCCAAAAUAUUCUCAGUAAAGCAUGAUAUCUCAUAAAUUGUAAAUCUAGUUUACUCAAUAAUGUUUCAUAAAACGUAGCCAUUAAAUCAUGCUUUUCAUGUAUGCAUUUCUAAUAACAAAAUAUGCAUUUUAGAAAUGGUUCACUCACUUUACACCAUUGGUGAAGAGCUGUGCAAACAAGAGAGGACGGAAAUGCCAUAAACAAUUGCACCUAAGCACAUAAAGGUACCAAUUAAUACAUCUCUAUCAUAACGAUUGAAUUUUGAGAAACGGAUUCAAGACAUCGAAAAACAUAAGGAGGACCUCGGGUACCCCCACGUGCCGUCACAAGGUGACGGCUCUGACAGCCACGAGCCGUUGUACACAUCGCCAAACGCCGAGAUGGAUCGCGGGAAAAGUUGUCGUCGCCAUCGCUAGCGCCGCCAUGGACAGCGGAGCACAGUGACUUAAACGGAGGUGCGUGUGCUUCACGCGCCAGUACAAGCCCGCCAUCACGCGUGCCACACGCAGGCCCACGUGCGGACCCACGCGCGACUUGGAGUCCAUGAUCCGACUAGGUUUGGGCCGGAUCUGGUUCCUGGGUUGGGCUUGGUUACUGGGCUGGGUUCAGUGGGUUUUGGGCCUAAACAGUUUCUGGGCUUGGGUUCCUUGGGCCGAAUGCCUAAGCUUGCAUAACCUAAAGGCCUGGUUUCUUUUGGGGUUUUGGGCUUAAGGAAAUGGGUCGGGCUUAGCUGUUUUGGGCUUGUAACCUGACUCAAGGGAUUGGACCAAGGGACCUGGGUUUAUGGGUUUAGGUCAGUUCCAAUUAGGUUUGGGCCGCAAGGUUGGCCUAGGUUCAAUGCGUUUGUUCUGGGUUUGGGCCUAAGACUUAACUUGGAUUUUGGGCUUGGCCGAGUGGGCUGAACUCAAGAUUUGGCGGGGGUAGCUUGGCCCAAUGAUUGGGCCGGGUUAGUGUUUCCGUGUCUGGCCAGGUCCGUUUCCAGGCCAAGUCGGCCGGUUUCGAGGAGGGAGAAAGCUAGUGUUUUCCAGGCUCCGUUCAACCCUAAAAUGUGAUUAACACCUAUCAUGGAAAUACCAAAUUGAAGCCCAAGGAACAAAGAAGACAAUUGUACCUAUUUCAAGACUUGUGGUGCUGAAGUUGAUUAAAAAAUGACCUGGAAGCCACAAGUAUUUUUCAGAAUCUAGGAAAGUCUCCCCGAGUAGUUUUCUGCGUCCAAUGGCUGCCAAAACAACUCAAAAACAUCCCAAACUCACAUAUAAAUACUAACCAAGAGGUUUUAGGAGCUUACCUAUGUCGAGGAUGAAAGAAACUCGCCGGAGUUUAACGAGAAAGGGAAUGAACAGUGGUCUUCGCCACUGUGGUGCACUACGGACUUGUCUUGGGUUUGAGGUUUUGCCUAGAAGGAUUCUAGGGUGGUAGUGGUUUAUGGUGACAUCAUCGUUGUGAUCGUUCUGGGGUCUCUGUGGCUCGGAAAGGGGAGGUUAGUGAAGAGAGAGACUUGUGAGAGAGGGAGAUGAGAGAGGUUCGAGAGUGUGUACAUAGGGAAAGAAAAGAGAAAUGAGAGGAAAGAAAAUGAUUGGGCCGGUGGACAAAAUCAAAGGGUGGGCCCCCUUGGGCACACCAAUUAAGGCCAUAAAAUAAUAUUUCAAACAAAUAUCCCACAACCAAAAUGAAAUUACAACAUUGCCCUUUCAUUCCAUAAAUUCCGGGAUGGGUCGUUACAAUCUACCCCCAUUACGAAAUUUGAAAUAAUGUACUAUACAUAAAUACUCAAAAAUAGGAAGGAGAAUAUAUGCAUAAGGAAGAAAUCAAGUCAAAGUGGUUGCAUCAAAGAUAAUAUGCCACACUGUUGCGAACGGGUUUUCAAAUCCUCUUUCAUGCCUCAAAGCUCUUACCUUCUUCCCCCAUCAGUGUAAAAGUAGAAACAUACCUUAUAAAGAUAUAAAGUCGAAACUAUAUAAUAACAUAUGGUAAAAAAUGUCACAUCCCGCCCCGGGGUCUACCAUAUCCCGGGCCCACUUCACCACCGUAGCAUAAUAUUGUCCGCUUUAGGCCCCGACUACACCCUCAUGGUUUUUUUUUUGGGAACUCACACGAGAACUUCCUAAUGGGUCACCCAUCAUGGGAUUGCUCUCGCGCACUACUCGCUUAACUUUGGAGUUCCGAUUAACUCCAAAGCCAGUGUGCUCCUAAAAAGCCUCGUGCUAGGUAGAGAUGAGAAUAUACAUAUAAGGCUUACAGGAUCCACUCCCUUGGGCGAUGUGGGAUGUUACAAUCCACUCCCCUUAGGGGCUCGACAUCCUCAUCGGCACACUUCCAGCCAGGGAUUGGCUCUCAUACCAAAUUGUCACAUCCCAGCCUGGGUCAUCACCAUAUCCCGGGCUCGACUCCACUGUAGCAUGAUAUUGUCCGCUUUGGGCCUUGACUACGCCCUUACGGUUUUGUUUCUGGAAACUCACACGAAAACUUCCGAGUGGGUCACCCAUCUUGGGAAUGCUUUCGCCCGAACUUGCUUAACUUCGGAGUUCCGAUGGCACCCGAAGCCAGUGAGCUCCCAAAAUGCCUCAUGCUAGGUAGGGAUGAGAAUAUACAUAUAAGGAUCACUCCCCUAGGCGAUGUGGGAUCUUACAAUCCACCCCCCUUAGGGGUCUGACGUCCUCAUCAGUACACUUUCGGCCAGGGAUUGGCUCUGAUACCAAAUUGUCAUAUCUCGACCCGGGGUCCACCACAUCUCGAGCCCGUUCCACCACCGUAGCACGAUAUUGUCUGCUUUGGGCCCUGACCACGCCCUCACGAUUUUGUUUCUGGGAACUCACACGAGAACUUCCCAAUGGAUCACCCAUAAUGGGAUUGCUCUCGUGCGCUACUCGCUUAACUUUGGAGUUCCGAUGAACUCCAAAGCCAGUGAGCUCCCAAAAGGCCUCGUGUUAGGUAGAGAUGAGAAUAUACAUAUAAGGCUUACAAGAUCCACUCCCCUGGGCGAUGUGGAAUAUUACAAAAAACAUGUACGUAUAAUACGAUAACGUCAAAAUAUAUAUAUGUAUUAACAUAGUGGUUGAAAACUCGUACUGGAAUCAAAACCGAAAAUGGAAGUGGGUCUUACCCAAGCAUUCGUAACGUCACGUACUCCAAGAACAGAUGUGUCUUUGGAUCAAGCCUCAACAAUUACUAAACAGUAACAACUAUCGUAGUCUGGUCUACUUGUUGACUUGCUUAACGAACCCAACGAAUAUGUCAUUGAUAUUACAGUCGACUGCCCGAGAUAUCGAUAACACUUUGUAGUGUCGAUAAGCAAGUAGUAAUUUCCUAAGGGUGUAAACAUACCAAUUUGUCCAAUCCCAAGUCAACAACAACACAAACACAUAGUUUCUCAAAUCAUAAAAUCAAACAUCUGAAACCAAUUCGCAAAACUCUAUUGUCUAACCAGUGCUGCUAAUAGAAUCUAACAUACCAAGUAUCAAAUAGUACCAUCCACAAACUAAAAAUAAAACUAUUGUCGCAACUACUCCAAGAGAUCGGUAAAAAAUCUAAUCAUUCCGAAACCAUAAACCAAAUGAACGCAACAUGUCUUUCAAGAUCUAGAUAUUUCGUUCAAGAUUGUCCAACAGUCUGCAAAUAAAAAUGUGAUAUAGGAUAAUAAUUUAGUACUCAAGGUCUUUACGCAAACUUCACAAAACUCAUAAGUGGAACGAGAAUCACGAUGAGGUACAAAAGUGACGAUACACCGAGAUCCAGAACAAUGUAAUUCACAACGUCUAAGCAAGUUGAUUCAUUGAGAAAUUUCUCUUGGAUUUAGUGAAUAGCUAUGCCGAGAACGCUAAGUGAACACCCACAAAUUUAAGAGUCAAAACAAGUCCAACAAAGCUAGGAAAGAAGAUAAUUAGAGUGAAUGCGUAGCUUUGAUGGAAGGAUACGUGUAAGUACCUAACUCGAUUAUGUGGUGGUAAGUCGAGAUGGUUGAGUAUGGACUCGACUCGGUGGUAGUCUAAAGUAAUCUGAUUGACGGGAACUCAAAUUUUUUUUCCCUAUUCCAAAAUUUCACAACUACUUGUUACAACGAUAACUCAAGGAUAUUCACACACCAGUGGUAAUGAUUCACUCGAUAAGAUAUUAAUGGGUGAUUGAAUGACUGGUGGUUUCGGAUAAAACUUUCGAAUCUAAAUGGUUCUCCUGAAUAGUCUCUCUACUAUAGAAAAGAUACGAAGUGAAAUGAUAUGAAGUGUUAUAGGGUAAACACGAACUCAAAGUUAACUACAAUGCUUUCUAGGAUUUGGAGGUGAAUCUGGGAUUACGAUUGCAACCGAUGUAAAUUGAGACGUCAGUAUAAAGAAAUCUAGAGUGAAGAAUUUUUCCAAACGAUUGAAGUAUAGUUCUCGCAAACUGGUAGGUAGUACGACGAGUGAGUUGAUCAACAAAUCCAAAACAUCAUCAUAGUCUCCACGUGUACAAGAUGGUUUGUACCGAAAAUCUAUGGUGACAUUCAUCUAUUCCCAUUCGCAUCCUUAAUGGGUCCCCAACAACCCAAGAAGGACAAUCUUGGGAAUUUCUGAUUAAGAGCAUCAUUUACGGCAGUUGCCUGACCAUGAUGGUACUCAAAGUUGCAAUCAACUCAUCGAUGAGUUCCAUCCACUUCAUUUGUCUCUGACUCAACUAUUUCUGUGUACAAACACACUACAACUUCUUUGGUAAAAAAGGAUGUACCAUUUCUCGUUGUAGAGAAAACAUCACCAGAUUUUAUAGCAAGGAAGGUCAUUAUCAGUUCUAGGUCAAGGAUAAAAUGGUUCACAUCAUGCAGUUCCAAUCGUCAACACGCGUGACUCGAUACUUAGUUGUCAAAAAAUUCGUUCAUCGUCAGCAUUGCAACAAGAUUGACUGGUUGCUUAGCUUAAAAAGCUCAAAGAAUAGUUAAAAACUGCUAAUAGGAUUUGACAUGGCCAAAGACAUUUCGUAUUUCUCAACACCAUGUGAGGAUUUUUAAUUUCCAACGGUCGUAACCCCUUUUCAGAAAUUGAUAAGAAUAACGUCUACGACCAAAGAAUCUCCCAAGAAAAGUAUCUACACUAAAAUACAAACAACGCUUGAAGAAUUUGACGUACAGCUGACUAUCGAUGUUUAAUGAACUUGACCUCAUGGUUGGAGUAAGCAAGAAGGUUAUCGAUAUAGUAGUCGCUGAGAAUUGUUCUAAAGAUCCACAUGAAUUUCCUUAGUGGGAACAAGUCAGAGGACAUUGAUUCAAUCCCACUAACUAACACUUACUAGACUUUGCAACGUCUAAAGCUUACUCGCCAAACUCCAACACGCACUUCGAAUGUCUCGAACAAUUUCCAUAUAAAUAUGAUUCCACCUGCCACUCUUAGGGAACGCAUGUCGCAGAGUGACAUCACUGAUUCAGAUCUUCCCAAUUUCAAACCACUUAGAUUUUUCCGUUUCACUACACUCUUGUGUAGAUACGACUCUGCCCGCCAUUCCUAAGGAACGCAUAUUGCAGAGUGGCAUUGCGAUCUCUGAUCUUCAACUGAGAUUUCUAAUUCACGUCACUUCAAUGUAAAAACCGACUCUGCCCGCAAUUCCUAAGGAAUGCAUGUUGCAGAGUAUCGGUCCGAUGUCGAAAGUCAUCCAACAAUUUGACAUGUCAUCGAUGAGGCACAAUCCCGACACGAAAUUUCUUAUUCUCCAAUAGGAUGUGACUAUUCACUUAGAAUGAAGGUUGCACAGCCAUGCUAAAUGACAACAAAUCCGGAAGUUAUGAAAUCCAAAUGAUGUCAUGAUCAACACACUACUACCGUAAAAGAAGAUCUUAAGUAUGCUCUGAACAAACCACGCUCUGAUACCAAAUUGACACGCCUAACCCUGAUAUUCUCCAAACAUCAGGGUAGGCAAGUGCUAGAAGACACCUGAAGGUGGCGAAGCCAUAUUAUGAUGCAUGAGAACUAGAAACAAUUAACCGACAUAACUAAAACUUGCAAAUUUAAUUAUAAUGAAUAUGCAUUUAUGGAAUGUGUUCAGAGCAUACAACUAAUCCGAGACACUAAAAAUGAAUAAUAUAAAAUUGAAUGAACAAAAGGAUGGGUCCUAUACCGAGAGGACUCGAAGAUGCCGAUGCGGGAGUGCCUUGAUGUCGGGAUUGUACGCCUCAAUUCUAAGUCCUGAGGAGGCUUAAAACAAAACAUGAGUGGACCAAGUUGUUAUAGAUAAUACUAAAACAGUUAUUCAUUAACGUACUAACCCCCAAAGUUUAUGAAGACUCAAUAGUAUAAUAUGUAAUAGGUUUUUCGACCCAUAAAACCUUCGUAAAACAAAUAUCAUAGUGUGCUAAGUAGUGGUAUCAGUAUCACCUGAAUAUAGAACUCUUCAUUCGCCCUAAGGUAUAUAGAACACAUCAUUUAGAACACUUCAUUUAGAACACUUAAUUUGUGAUAUCCCGUCCCCAGAAUUUCACUAUUCAUUACGUAUCUCGUAAUUUAAAUUCGUAUUUCACGUUUACUUUAUCUUUAUUAGUUAAUUUUAAUUCCGUAAAGUUUGGGAAUUAAAUCGAAUAGUUAUCGGGUUUGAAUUUUUGUAAUUAAUCUUUAAAAUUUGUUGACCUUUCGAGCACAAUUAAUGUUUUCGAAUAGAUUUCAAAACCAUGAACGCAUAGGUGAAAGCCGUUUGCGAAUCGAGAUUAUAACGGAAGAGUUAUGGGUGUUCAGAUUCGUGUUUUAUUUUAAGUGAAUUCUAACCUUGUGGGAGGGAUGACUAAUUAGACUAAGGGCAAGGAAGCCAUGUGAGUGGCUGGGAAGAAAAAAAAAAGAAAAAAAAAAGCUGCCUAAUGGCAGUGGGGAGAAAGAAAAAGAAAAGGGAGGUGCAGAGGGAAGAGGGAGGGCAUUGGCUAUCCAAUCAGAGAAAAAGGGAUGGAUCAAUCAAGAGAGGAAUGAAUGAGAGAAAGGAGAGGGGAGGAAAUAGAGGGGAUCCAACUAAAAACCCAGCAAAAUCGGGCCACCAUGACCCGUAGCCUGAUCGGUGAGAAUGAUGUUUGCCGAUGCCUUUUACGACAUUUUCUCCAACAAAUUGAAGCCACACAUCACCUAGAAUUACCCUAGCAUCCUUUACCCCUCCAAUUUCAUCAAAAAUCCUAGUUAAUUGGGCCUUAAUUCGUGAUGAACUCCCCGACGGGUUCUUGAGGUGCAUGGCGGUGAUUUGCCAUUCCCGAAGCCAACUCCAUCAAUUACCACCACCAAUAGGCUCCCCUCAACCUUAGGAACAAAGCCCAAGCAGUGGUGGAGGCGUCGGAGCGAGUAUGGAGAUCGAAUCGAAGCAUACCCAAUUCUAGGGUUCCGGCGGUUCGUGGGCGAUUUCAGUUGUUUCCCAGACGAAUUGGACUUUGGCCCAGGUAUGAAAUUUGUUCCCCUCAUUGAGUUCUACUUGGCUGUAAAAUUUGGUAUUUUUGGAAAUAGUUGAUUUUUCCGACGAGUUGAGGUGGUCAGCCGCCGCAUGUGGCGGCGCAUGGGCCGAGACCCCACCUACCCUUUCUAGACUAAUUUGGAUACCUUGAUUCCAUAUGUGAUUUCUGAUUGACGAAAUUUCGUCAUAUGACUAUAAUUUUGAUAGAGAUCGCCACUUGGUCAUUCUAUGAAUCGACGAUCCGACCGUUGGAUUGUCACCAAACUUUAAUACAUAAUAGUACGUAAUAUUUAAGGACAAUAUGAACUUAUGGAUUGGGAAUCCAAUGUAUGGAUCUUCCUGAAUUGGAUUCGUACGUUUGUAAAAAUCAAACGUUGACCGCCACUUGAAUUUGCGAUGAGCGGAGAUCCAACCGUUGGAUCGUUCCGAAAUUUUAGAAUAUUGUUCUAGAAGAUAAAUGAGACCCUUAGGAAGUUACAGAUUUGACAUCCAUGGGCGAAUGUUUCAGAUUGACUUGUAUAGGGUUGUGGAUUCCACCGUUGACAGAGACUUGACUAUAUGUUACGAAUUGAUCUUAAAUAUUAAAAUUAGUAUUACUAGAGGCUAUGUAUGGCUUAGUGGGCCUAUAUUGGCGAGUGAGUUAUUCCAUAUAGUAUAUACAUCGGUUUACUUGCAUGGGAUGUCAUAUUGUGUUAUAUAUGUGUUUAUUUAUCGGGUAAAUUACAUUUUACCACCUUAGGUUUGAGAUCUAUUUCAACCUCAUACAACAUCUUCAAAAUAUUUCACUUUCAUACCUCAAGUACUAUUUUAUUUCAAUAUAAUACAUCCGUUACAUUUUCCAUCCAUUGUUCCAUUAAGAGCUGACGUGACUGCCACAUUUAUGCCAUGUGGCUACAUCAUUUGUGCCACAUGGCUAAAAAUUAAAUUUUUAUGCAUUUAAAAACAAUUAAUUAAAAAAAAUGCCCAGAACCUCAUCCCUUCCCCUUCCCCUUCCCCGCAACCCCCCACCUCUCUCUUCGACAAUCUCCAGCUUUUCGUCUUCAGCCUCCGCCUUCUUCCAAUACCAUCAGGACCACCACUACUAUAAUCAGCAGAUCCACAACCACCACCACCACCACUAAUCAGCGUCUGUCCGGCCUUCUCCUCUCCAUCUCAGUCUGUCCGGUUCUCCAUCGACCAUCACUCGAUCUCUCCCAACCAUCAUUCGAACUGAUCCAUCUUCAUUUUAAAGAUAACACGACCAAUUUUGAUGCUGAAAAAGACCUGUAUGUGCUCGCCGACAUCGCAUCUGGGAUCGUUUCGCUGCAGCCUCCAUAAAAACCAGGGAGAGAGUUAAAACAUCGGAUUUUUCCCAUCGAACAAGUUGAAUAUGCGUAAAUUCACUAAUUCACUAUGAUGAAAUCAUUGGUUCAAAUCAGUGGAGUCGAAGGCGAGUGGGUGAAACGAGCCUUGACCGCCCUGAUUCGGCCUUGUGCUCACCAGCAGCGACAGAGAGCUGGGUUUCAAUUGAACUUCCAUGGCGACCCGCUCUACUCGAAAAUCGUCAAAGUGGUGGAUGUGGUUCGGAGAACUCGGGGAGAAAUCAGACCUCGGGGAACCAACUGGACUGCGGCGGCAGGUUUGGGCUGGGCCUUCUAGGCCAAGGAGUGGUGGCAGGAGGUAAGGUAGAAGGAGAGAAGGAAGAGAGUGAUUGCCCAGAUCAUUUUUUCAAUUUUUUUUUUUGCUGAGUUGGCAUGACGUGGCAGAUGGAUAUCCACGUGUGCAAGUUUUGGAGGGAGUGGGCUGACAUGUAAUGGGGUCUACUACUGCCACAUUAGCUCUUAACUGACUAAUUGAUGGAAAAUGUAACGGAUGUAUUAUAUUGAAAUAAAAUAGUAGAUAAGGUAUGAAGGUGAAAUUUUUUGAAGAUAUUGUAUGAGGUUGUAAUAGACCUCAAACAUGAGGUGGUAAACUGUAAUUUACCCUUAUUUAUCUUCUUGACAAUACGAAAGAUAUGUAUGUUAACUGUUAUGACAUUGUGAGCCUAAAAUCCUAUUAGAAGUGUUAUGUAGAACAUAUAGGCUUAAGUGACAUAGUAGUUAGUGGUCAUGAGAAGUUGAUAGUUCAGGUUCCUACGUUGUAAAUCAUAGGGAUUGAGGUAGGGGUAGAUUGUGAGUUGAAUUGAUUACACCAGGUAGCAGUGGUACUUGGAUGGUCCUGCUUGGUAUAUCCGCGAUAGGGGACCAUACGUAUUCUAGGGGUGAUCAUACUUGGUAUAUCCGUGAUGGGUGAUCACCGCCUGCACGGUUAGACUAUGCUUAUGGUCCUGCUUGGUUUAUCUACAAUGGGGGACCAUACGCAUUCUAGGGGUGAUCAUGCUUAGUAUAUCCGCGAUGGGUGAUCACCGCCUGCAUGGUUAGACUAUGCUUAUGGUCCUGCUUGGUUUAUCCGUAAUAGGGGACCAUACACAUUCUAGAGGUGAUCAUGCUUGGUUUACCCAUGAUAGGUGAUCACUACCUAGAGUUAGGACGUGGUCCUGCUUGGUAUAUCCACGAUAGGGGACCACACGUUAGACUAUGCCUAUGGUUCUGCUUGGUUUAUCCGUAAUAAAGGACCAUACGCAUUAUAGGAAUGAUCAUGCUUGGUAUAUCCGAUAGGUGAUCACUACCUAGAGAUAUAGGGUACAAUCAUGCUUUGUAUAUCCGCGAUAGGGGAUUGUUAGGAGUGAUCAUGCUUGGUAUAUCAGCGAUGGGUGAUCACUGCCAGCACGUUUAGAUUAUGCUUAUGGUGGGGGGCCAUAUGCAUACUAGGUGUGAUGAUGAUUAGUUGUACUUGGUACAUUUCGAUAGGUGAUCCUAUUUUGGUUGGAUUUUGUUGAGUGGUCCGAAAUCUCUACUCUUGCUCAUUUCCAUAAGUUAGACUAGAACCCUGGAUUUGAGUGAAUGUGAAUUACCCACAACAGACCUUGUGAAUAUAAAUUAGAAUUAUCAGGUUAUUACUUGGAAUCCAGGUAGGGAAUUAUGUAGAAUUCCUUUAUUAAAUUUUAUGCACGGUUAUGUGAUCUAUUUGAUUAAUUAACGUAAUUAAAUGUUAAUAUCGUGUCUCCUUGAUUCAUGGAAUGGGUUACUUGAGGUGAUUGUGGAAGAUGUUGAAUAUGAUUAUUAUUAAUACGAUUAGAUCAGUGAUCAAUAUGACUAGAGGACUCUACUAUGUUUUGUUAAUUCUUUGAUAUAUUACAUGCUAUGAAUUGCGAUUUUAUGUUGAAACAUAAUGAUUUAUAUGAUGGAUGAAAUAGAAACCUUGAUUGUCAUAUGGGUUUGUUAUGUAGCUUGAAUCAAAUAAUUCAUGUUUGUCAAGUCUAAAUGUUUGAUUGAGGAAUGCUAUGCCUUUCGGCUUGAACGGACUGUGAUAUAUGUCGAGUUGUAGCGAAUGACGAACUAAGAAUGACUUGAUCAUUGUUUAGGGUACGUAGGCAAUCUAACGAGGUUAGAUGCAGCCAUAAAGUAUACAAAAAAAUUACUAUGUGAUUUGAUUCUCGAGUUAUGCUUUGCCAUACCCCGGAGGCAGGGUAAGUUAAAGAUACGGGUAUUUGGAGACGUUACAUGUCGAUCUUUGAUGAACGUUGGAAUCGGGGUGUGACAUCAUUUAGAACACUUCCUUCAGAACACUUCAUUUAGAACACUUCAUCCGGAACACUUCAUUCACUCGAAGGUAUAUAGAACUCUUCCGACAGAAACCAUAUAAAUAUCUUUCGCCUGUAGGACCUACACACGCCUGUCCAAAGCCAAUAUAAAUAUCAUUCGCCUGUAGGCCCAACACACGCCCGGUCGAAGCCAAUAUAUAAAUAACAUCGCUCAUAGGCAGAAGAGUGAUCACUAGAUAAGCACAAAAAUCAUUGAACAUAAUAUUUCUAAACAUAAGUACAUAUAUCUCAACGGAGCUCAGUAGCUCAAACAUCAUAUCUCAAAACAUCUUAAUAGUAUAUAGUCAUCCAUCAUAUAUACUACAAAGAAUGUAAAAAUCGAUAAGGUAUGGUAUUCCAAAGUAUUUUCAGUAAAGCAUGAUAUCUCAUAAAUUGUAUUUCUAGUUUACUCAAUAACAUUUCAUAAAAUCUAGCCAUUAAAUCAUGUUUUUCAUGUAUGCAUUUCUAAUAAAAAAAAUAUGCAUUUUAGAAGAGGUCCACUCACCUUACACCGUUGGCGAAGAAAACAAGAGAGGACGAAAAUGCCAUAAACAAUUGCACCUAAGUACAUAAAGGUACCAAUUAAUACAUCUCUAUCAUAACAAUUGAAUUUCGGGAAACAGACGUCAUAAACGGAUUUAGGACGUCGAAAAACAUAAAGAGGGACCUUGGGUACCUCCACACUACUGCGCAUGUGCCCUCACGCACUGCCUAGAUGGGUCACUGGAAAAGUCGUUGUCACAGCCGCUGCCGCCGCCCUGGACAGCGGAGCACAGUGUCUUUGGCUGAGGCACAUGUGCUCCACACGCCGGCAUAGGCCUACCCUUAAGUGCGCCUACGCGCAGACCCAUGUGCGGCCUGGAGUCUGGGAUUCAACCAGGUUUAAGCCGGAUCCAGGUCCUAGGUUGGGCUUGUUUACUGGGCUGGGUUCAGUGGGUUUUGGGCUUAAAGGGCUUUUGGGCUUGGGUUCCUUAGGCUGAAGGCCCAAGCUUGCAUGGCCCAAAUGCCUGGUUCUUUUUGGGUUUUUGAGCUUAGGGAAUGGGCUGGGCUUAGCUGUUUUAAGCUUAUAACCCAGCCCAAUGGAUUAGACCAAAGGACUUGGGUUUCUGGGUUUGGGUCAGUUCCAAUUAGGUUUGGGCCGAGGGUUUUGGACCGCAAGGUUGGCCUGGGUUCAAUGGGUUUGUUCUGGGUUUGGGCCUAAGACUUAACUUGGGUUUUAGGCUUGGCCUAGUGGGCUGGACUCAAGAUUGGCUCGGGUAGCUUGACCCAACAAUUAGGCCAGGUUAGUGUUUCCGAGUCGGGCCUAGCCCAUUUCCAAGCCGAGUCGGCCAGUUUUAAUGAGGGAGAAAGCCGGAGUUUGCUCAACCCCAACAUGUGACUAACACCUAUCAUGCAACAUACCAAAUUGAAGCCCAAGGAACAAGGAAGACAAUUGUACCUAUUUCAAGACUUGUGGUGGCCGGUGUUGGCUGGAAAGUGGCCUGGAAGCCACGGGUAUUUGUCGGAAUCUGGGAAAGUCUCCCCAAGUAGUUUUCUGCGUCCAAUGGCCACCAAAACAACUCAAAAACGUCCCAAACUCACAUAUAAAUACUAUCCAAAAGGUUUCAAGGGAUUAUCUACAUCGAGGAUGAAAGAAACUCACCGGAGUUCAACGAGAAAGGGAAUAAACAGUGGUCUCCGCCAUUGUGGUGCACUACAGACCUGUCCUGGGUUCGAGGUCUUGCCUAGGAGGAUCCUAGGGUGGUAGUGGUUUGUGGUGUCGCCGUCGUUGUGGUCUUUCUGGGGUGUCUGUGGCUAAAAAAAAGAGGUGAAUGAAGAGAGAGACUUGUGAAAGGGGGAGAUGAGAAAGGGGUCCAAGAGUGUGUACACGGGGAAAGAAAAAGAAAGGAGAGGAAAGAAAAAUGAUUAGGUCGAGGGACAAAAUCAAAGGGUGGGCCCUCUUGGGCACACCAACUAAGGCCAUAAAAUAAUAUUUCAAACAAAUAUCCCACAACCAAAAUGAAAUUACAACAUUGCCCUUUCGUUCCUUAAAUUCUGGGACGGGUCAUUACAAUGUAGACGUCUAUGGCCAUAGGACAUAGUUGAGGAUAUCUAUGUAUAUAUUUCUUCUCUGGCGUAACCCAGAGUCAUACAGCUUCACCUUCCGGUGAUGGUACCUACCAUGUUUCUUCACUAGCAAAACUCAUUGUCGUACAACUUCAUCUUCGGGUGAUGGACAGGUACUGCCUUCGGGCGAAUGAAGAGUGAGAUAUUUAUGCCAUACCCCCAACUUCACUGGCAAAACCAGUGUCAGACAGCUUCACUAGCCACGGCUAGUGUCGGUGUGUGAUGUUAUAUGUUUCUUCUCUGGCGUAACCCAGAGUCGUACAGUUUCACCUUCAGGUGAUGGGGCCUACCAUGUUUCUUCACUAAUGUAACCCAAUGUCGUUUAGUUUCACCUUCAGGUGCUAGACAAAUAUUACCUUCGGGCGACUAUGAUAUCCCUAAAGAGUACAGUAUUGAUGAGAUUUAUGGAUUUGCCUUCGGGCGGCGAUAGCAGCAUUAUUGAGCAUUGUUUUACACGUACAUGUUUUACGAAUGUUUUCAUGGCUUAGAGUUUUCAAAAAACUACUAUGUAGUAUUAUUUAUGUAUGUUUUCAAAACAGGAGGUUAGUAUGUUCAUAAAGAAAAUGGUUUCUUAUUAUUAGUAUUAUUAUAAACUUUGGUCCACUCACAUUUCUGUUUUGUGCCCUCUCAGGAGUUAGAAUUGAGGCAUUCGAUCCCAACGUCAAACCAUUUCCGCAUAGGUAUCUUCGAGCCCUUUAGGUGUAGAACCCACUUUCUUGGUAAUCCCAUUUAUUUCAUAAUGAUUCUUUUGCAUUAUUCUUGAUUAGUUGUAUGCUCUAAAUACAGUUCUGCAUUAGUAUAUUUCUUUUUAAUCACAUACUUUAAUUUGCACGCAUGUAAAAGUGGUUUCAUCACCCUCGGGUGUCAGCCAACACGUGUCUAUCCUGGUAUUUGAGAAUAUCGGGAUCGGGGCGUGUCAAUUAAGUUGUCAAAAAUUUUAAGCCUUAGGAUCAAAACUAAUACAAUCUUAUGGCUAGUAUGCAUUUGGUUCUCAUGGGUCCUCAAAAUCAAAACCUUAGAAGAGCAUGACUCUUGUGAAUAAAGACUAGAUGCAUAUUAGCCACAAGAUUGUAUUAGUUUAGAUUCAAAGACAUAAAAACUUUUGACAACUUAAUAAAGCAAAACAAAAAAUUGACAAGUGAUUAUUUUCAUUUUUCACUUUCAUUGUGAAUUGGCAAAAUUGAUCUAAAAAAUUUGGAUGUUGCACAAAUCAUAAUCAAACGUAAUAAAAUUGUGAAUAAUUUUAAUGUAAGGACUAGAGUCAUGCUCUCCUAAGGUUUGGUUUUAAGGACUUGUGAGGACCAAAUGCAUUAAGCCACAAGAUUGUAUUCGUUUAGAUCCAAAAGUUUAAAAUUUUUGACAACUUAAUUAAUAAAGUAAAAAGUUACACUAUGUUUGGAUGAGGAAAAUAAACUUAGAAUUUGUAUAAAAGUCAGAAUUUAUAAAUUGACAUGCACCAAUUCCUUUGUUUGGAUUCAUAAACAUAGAAAUUUAGAAUUUCCGCGUGGAAAAAAACUUGGAAUUUGGGACCUCCAAUUCCCAAGUUUAAAUUCCAUGUAAAUAGGUGUCAUUUCCCAAUUUCUAUGAUUGAAAGUUUAAAAAUAAUAAAUUACAUAUUCAAUUCCAUAUUCUUUUAGGUUAAUCAAACAAGAAAAUUCACAAAUUCUAGAAAAUAAAAUCUCGUCAUUUCAAUUACCGUCAUUUUAAAAUUCCUUAGUAAUCUUAAAUUUCUUCAUCCAAACAUAAUGUAAAUUAUUUUUCUAAUGGUUCAUGAAUUUUAAGUUCGUUUUGAAUUAUUAAACUGUCAAAUAUUUUAAAUUUAUGGUUCUAAACUAAUACAAUCUUAUGACAAUUAUGUAUUCAGUCAUCACGGUCCACAAAAUAAAGACUCUGGGAAAGUAGGACUGUAAGAACAUUUCAUGCACCAAAUGGUCAAUCAUCUCGGUCAAAUGGAAUUCGUGAAAAAUCAUUUUGAGCUGAAGAAAUUGCAUGUUGGGCAUCACUGAAAGAUAGGGUUCUUUCUGUCGUUUAUCCACUGCUCAUCACAAUCAGAGGGGGACCAUAUUUAACGUCUCCACCAUACUGUACGGAAAGGGAAUGGUUGGGGUGGCAGCUUUCAAGUGCUGCAGUACCAGCCACCCAACUCCAAAGGGGUUAUUCAUGAAGGUUUUUCAAUUAUAUAUAAUAAGAACAUUGGAAUUACAGGUUAGUGUCGAGAAGCAAUGUACUUGAAUGGCUGGCCACUUUCUCGAAUCUAGCUAGUGGAUGGCCUUAGGCUGCAUUAUUCAGUUAGUAUAUUUUGCAUGAUAUAUCGUUUUGUAUUAGAUAACUAUAGGGUGUUGCAGUAGAACUGAAUUAGAUCCUUUUUCGACUUGUAACUUCUCUUUACUGUCAAUUCUCUACUGACACGAAAAUAGGCGACCCAGCUCAAUUUACUUCUUGCACCAAGUCUCCAAGAUCUUCCCAAAAUUUCUCCUUCGAACUCGUAUCCAACCCUACUUGAGGUGCGUACGCACUAAUCACAUUGAUAAGUUCUUGUCCUAUUACAAUCUUGAUUGCCAUGAUUCUAUCUCCUACCCUCUUGACAUCUACAACAUCUUGUACCAAGGUCUUGUCAUAUGAUCUCUUCUUAGCCAACACCUUCUUUAAGAAGAGAGAAGAACAUGUGAUCACCUACAAGAGUGGGUCGUCAAAAACACAAAUAGAUUUUCUUCUAAUAAGGAAAGGGGAUCGUAUAACUUGUAAGGAUUGCAAAGUUAUACCAGGAGAGAGCGUGGCUAAUCAACAUCGCUUGUUGGUGAUGGAUGUACAUAUCAAAAGAGUAAGACAAAAGAACAAGACUUGGAAGUGCCCAAGGACUAGAUGGUGGAAUCUAAAAGAAGAAAAACAAGCCAUUUUCAAAGAGAAGGUAAUCACCCAAUGUGUGUGGGAUAGAGAGGGGGAAGAAAGCUUCAACAUACAAGCUUUAACAAAAGAAAAUUCAAAGAACUUAGCGAAGAAGGCUUUGGUGUAUUUAACACAAUACGUUGAAAUGAAGGAAAGCUUAUUUAUUGAUAUCCCCGAUAAGCUACAAAUAUGUACAUAUACAUGAGUCAAAAUAAGCACACAAGAGGGAGCCUUCAUAAAGGUUGCUUAGGAGAAGUCUCAGCAGUCGGUAGAGCCCCAGAAAGAGAAGGCACCGGAGGGGGAUCAUUUGGAGCCUCAGUACUGGACAGAACCCCUAGAAGGAGGAAGGCAUCAGAGGUUGAUCAUUUGGAGCUUCAUUACGCCGGUACAGCCCCAGAAGACGAAGGCAAUAAAUGCCUUUGGAACAAACCCACAAAUCUCUGAUGAUCAAGUAAAACCUGACCAUCAGUUUCCUUUCAUCUGGUCAAGCUUCCUCUUCAUGUUUGUAGCAUAGUCAUGUGCGAGCCGGUUCUGCAACUGUUUAUUCUCAUGCUUGAGCCCUCUAAUCUCCUGUUUGAGACUCAUCACUUCAGCCGCCAAUGAUUCAACUUGGCGGGUUCGAGCAAAUAGGCGUUGGGCCAUAUUAGACACAGAACCUGCACACUGAACACUGAGAGCCAGCGAAUCCUUAACAGCUAACUCAUCAGACCGUUUGGAAAGUAGUCUGUUAUCUUUGGGAGUGAGAAGGUUCCUGGCCACCACCGUAGCGGUCAUAUCAUUCUUCAUCACGGAAUCCCCAACGGUAAGAGGACCAGUAGGGGAGACGAAGGAUGGGCGCCAUAUGUUGUCUGGAGAAGGCGGGGCUGCCUCUUCAACAAGGUUCAAGUCAAAACGACGGUCGAAGGGGCCAGACAUUUUUCAAAGGUGUUGAAGAGAGAAGAGGUCGGACAAAUCAAGAUCUUAGAAGUGCAAGAAUGAAGCUUCUACUGGUGGAGAUUCAAGUGUGCUUUGGAACUUAAUGCCAGCCCCUAUAAAAAUCUGCACUCGACGAAAGCUUCAGAAAUCGAAGAGGCGUUUGCUUUCUCAAAAAGCUGGGCUGCUUAGAGAUCACGAGGGGGUUGAUCUCAGAAAUCGAAGAGGCGUUUGCUUUCUCAAAAGUUGGGCUGCUCAAAGACCACGAAGGCCGAUCUCAAAAAUCGAAGAUGCGCUCGCUUUCUCAAAAGCUGGGGCUCCCCAGAGACCACGAGGGCCGAUCUCAGAAAUCGAAGAGGCACCUACUUUUCCAGCCUUUUCCAGCCUUGUCAGCACCUGUAACACGCACACUCAGUUUUGCGGAAAUUAUAGGCAUUCUGUCAAAGACUUCUGGGGAAGUAGAAAAACACAUGAAUCUUACUGUUCAAUCACCCACUUCCCACACGCAACAAUAGCUCAUGGGUACCACAGAUAACUUUGCCAAAGUUCUCUGCCAAAGUUGAGCACGUGAAGCUUGCAGCUCCCACUACAUCGCUCUGACCAAGAAGGGUAAAAGAAUAGCAAAGAAACAGCACUAACAAAGUUUAGACCCAUAAAUUUUGAAGGUCUAGCUACCAUAUUAUUACCCACAAGGGUAAAGGAACAGUACCACUGCUGGAUAAUUGGAAAGUCCCUGUGUGUCAACCUCUGUGCUUCGUGGCAAGGUAGACUAGCAAACAUGCCCAACCUUUACUCCACAUUCGAGAAAACACUCCCAAUAAGAUUGCUUGCUCCAAAAAUCGAAGAGGCACCGUCCUCCGAAUCUCGAGAGCUAGACUCCCAACAUGACUACUUUCUUAAAAAAUCGAAGAGAGGGUAAAGGAACAGUACCAUUGCUGGAUAAUUGGAAAGUCCCUGUGUGUGUCAACCUUUUGUGCUUCGUGGCAAGGUAGACUAGCAAACAUGCCCCAACCUUUACUCACAUUCGAGAAAACACUCCCAACAAGAUUGCUUGCUCCAAAAUCGAAGAGGCACCGGCCUCCAAAUCUCGAGAGCCAGACUUCCAACAUGAUUACUUUCUCAAAAAUCGAAGAGACACUGCUCCCCGAAUCUCGAGAGCCAGACCCCCAGCAUGAUUGCUUUCUCAAAAAUCGAUGAGGCAUCGUUCUCCGAAUCAAUCGAAGAGGCGCUCGCUUUCUCAAAAGCUGGGCUGCUCAGAGACCACGAGGGCUGAUCUCAGAAAUCGAAGAGGCACCUACUUUUCUAGCCUUGUCAGCACCUGUCACACGCACACUCAGCUUUGCAGAAAUUAUGGGCAUUCUGUCGAAGACUUCUGGUGAAGUAGAAAGCACAUGAAUCUUACUGUUCAAUCACCCACUUCCCACACGCAACAAUAGCUCAUGGGUACCACAAAUAACUUUGCCAAAGUUCUCUGCCAAAGUUGAGCACGUGAAGCUUGCAGCUCCCACUACAUCGCUCUGACCAAGAAAGGUAAAAGAAUAGCAAAGAAACAGCACUAACAAAAGUUUAGACACAUAAAUUUUGAAGGUCUAGCUACCAUAUUAUUACCCACAACUGUAAAGGAACAGUACCACUGCUGGAUAAUUGGAAAGUCCCUGUGUGUCAACCUCUGUGCUUCGUGGCAAGGUAGACUAGCAAACAUGCCCAACCUUUACUCACAUUCGAGAAAAACACUCCCAAUAAGAUUGCUUGCUCCAAAAUCGAAGAGGGCACCGUCCUCCGAAUCUCGAGAGCCAGACUCCCAACAUGACUACUUUCUCAAAAUCGAAGAGAGGGUAAAGGAACAGUACCAUUGCUGGAUAAUUGGAAAGUCCCUGUGUGUCAACCUUUGUGCUUCGUGGCAAGGUAGACUAGCAAACAUGCCCAACCUUUACUCACAUUCGAGACAACACUCCCAACAAGAUUGCUUGCUCCAAAAUCGAAGAGGCACCGCCCUCCGAAUCUCGAGAGCCAGACUCCCAACAUGAUUACUUCCUCAAAAAUCAAAGAGACACUGCUCUCCGAAUCUCGAGAGUCAUACCCCCAGCAUGAUUGCUUUCUCAAAAAUCGAAGAGGCAUCGUUCUUCGAAUCUCGAGAGCCAAAUACCACAAACCACUUUUUCAAAGUGCUCUGACAGAGUUAAAACAUGUGAAAUUGGCAGCUCCCACUACCAUGCUAUGACCAAGCAGGGUAAAGGAAUAGCAUUACUACUUGUUGUUAGGGAGACUCCUAUAUAUGUCGACCUCCAUCCCCAACGGACAGGCAGACCUGCAAAAAUGCUCAACCCUUCAUCAUAUCUGAUAGGGCACUCCCAACGAAGCCUUUCGAAAUAUUCAGCUUUCUUUCCCCCCGAUAAUACCUCUGCAAACAAGCUAUACUAGAGCAAGAAUAUCUCAUAUCAUUAGGGUUAAAAGCAAGAGUAUCCCAUAUCAUGCUUUUUCCCUAUCUUUUCUUUUGGCCUUGUUUUUACCUGCAAGACAAGGAGAAAGAGAGCAAUCAGUCAGCACUUGGAAUCAAGCUUCCAGCCAGGAACUGACUGCCUGGAACCCCUUACCUGAUUACUUACCUGGCAUUGCUCUCGAGUACUCAUCUUCAACAUCUUAUGUUUCCAGGGAAGAUUCUGCAUCUGCUUGAGGAACAGAUAGGGCAAGUGCGAAGGAUACAAGGAAGCAUGUGGAGACAAGCGUAACAGCACACGUGCCGAUACAUUCAUUACUCUGUCAAAAGCAAAAGUAUCCAUAUCAGCAGGGUGGAACGUACUCUAGAUUUGGUGGACUUGUUUUGACCCUCAAAUUCUUCAGUCGGCCUUAUACUCUUGGAGGAAACCAGAAAACCCUCCAGCUCAGUUCAAGAAUAAGCCUGUGGAAAGUUACUUCUUCAAAAGCAAAAGUAUCUCAUAUCAUCUCUUCUCAUUUUUUCUUCUCUUUAUCCUUCAUGCUGCUGCAAGAUGGGGAGAAGGUGAACAAUCAGUCGGAGCUCUGAUUGCUUACCUUGUCUGUCACCUCUUUUCAGCAGACCCCCUAGCUCGGCGACUUGGGGACUCCUACUACAUGGUUUGUAUCGCGCUUGACCAAGCCUGAAACUACAAGUAAGCUUCAAGUGAAAUUGAUACAUUACCUUGUGCAUCUCCACCAGUUAAAGAUACCACCCCUGGAUGGAGGAAGAGUACUUCCAGAGAAGAUGCCACAUCUACCUAUGAGACAGAUAAGGCAAGUCAAGACGACACCACACUCCGAUACUUAGAAGUUUCGUGAUUACGAGAUCAUUCUCCCACAAUAUUUCCUAAUGUCAUUUGUACUAAAUCAUUCACUUGUACUCACUAAAUGAGAGCUUGAACCUAUGUACUUGUGUAAAACCCUUCACAAUUAAUGAGAACUCUUCUAUUCCGUGGACGUAGCCAAUCUGGGUGAACCACGUACAUCUUGUGUUUGCUUUCCUAUCUCUAUCCAUUUAUUAUACUUAUCCACACUAAUGACCGGAGCAAUCUAGCGAAGAUCACAAAAAGCGAUCGUUUUCGCUACCUAGGAUCUAUCUUGCAAGAGAACGGAGAAUUAGAUGGAGAUCUCAACCAUAGAAUACGAGCUGGAUGGAAAGAGUGCAUCCGGCGUGUUGUGUGACCGUCGUAGGCCACUGAAGCUCAAGGGAAAAUUUAUAGGACGGCAAUAAGGCUAGCGAUGUUGUAUGGCACAGAAUGUUGGGUGGUGAAGCAUCAACACGUACACAAAAUGGGUGUAGCGGAGAUGAUGAUGCUUCGUGGGAUGUGUGUGGGGCACACGAGAAGGAUAAGAUUGGGAAUGAGGAUAUCCGAGGUAAAGUAGGAGUAGCCGAAAUUGUAGGAAAUAUGAGAGAAAAUCGGCUCCGGUGAUUUUGAACAUGUGCAAAGAAGGCCGACUGACGCUCCGGUUCGAAGAUGUGACUACGUACGGACAGAGGUUCAGGGCCGAAGGGGUAGAGGAAAGACCUAGGAAAAAUUUGGAAGAGACUCUAAGAAAGACUUAGAGUACUUGGACGGUCUGAACGGAGACAUGAACAAAAAAGAGACGCACGGCAUGGUGCGUUCUAGGGAUUCAUAAUAUAGCCGACCCCACUUAGUGGGAAAAGGCUUUGUUGUUGUUGUUGUUGUUGUUGUUGUGGUUGAAGCGCACUUUGUUUUGUUGAAUAAUAGAAUGUGCUGUUUCAUCUGGUCUCUGCUUCUCUGUCUAUUGUUCCACCAUGAAUGGCCAUGCCAAGUUACUACUUUUGGCAUUUCUUCAAUUCCUGGAAUUCAAACUUGUAUAGUUUCAAAUGUAAGGGGGUACCUUCGUUAGACAAGCGACGCCAUUGUUCAAGAAUCAAUUAGAAAUGUUUUGGUUAUAGGACUCUUCUGGUUUCCCUUAAGUACUAGUCCAAUUGCUUCGAUACCUUUCCGAAGGAGGAGGUUGGACUUUAUUCUAUCGGAAUUCCACUUCCGGGGUAACCUCGUUUUGUGUCGGAGUGUGAAAAGUUUGUGUCUUUGGGUGAUUAAAUUUAUGACAUAGGUGCGUGUUCUGUGUUUCUACUUUUUGUUUCUUAAUAAAAUUCACUUGUACUAUCGAGUUUGUUCAGAAUCUUGUAAAUUUAGUUCUUUUGUAUGAUUACAAUAUGUUCUUAACUUUAGAUCAAGCCCACCUUAUUUUCAAAUCCCGAUGUGUCCGGGAUUGUGUUCAUCUACUUUGUAUCAUACAAAAUAUCAUGAAUGAUGAAGCUAUAACUGAUUUUGCUGAUUUAGUAUGGAAUUGGAUGUUACUCUGUUUAUAGUAUGAACGAUGAAAUUUACAAAUGUAGGUAAGACUAGUUGAUUAUACUAGUGUGUUUGUUCCUUUGCAGCCAAGUUCAAAUUCUCAUCCUCGUAAAUAUGACUAGUGUAAUAUCUCUUUGUGUCAAAACAAAAUAUGUUGAUCCUUACAUAUGGUUGGCAUAUCAUUGGGACUGCUUCAGAGAUACUCUCAACGGUUGAAAUCCAACCGCAAUGGCUCUAAAACCGUCCAACUUCCUUGUGUGCCGGGACUUGAUUUCAGGGUGCCCAUUUCACUGUUGGCCAGACCCCAUGCCAUUAUAUAAGUCUUGACUGUCCAUGAAAGCUAUGCUUCCUAGGCUUACAUAGCUAACAGAGAGUUUUGUGCUUGUUUAUCGAACCAUGACAUACAGCUCUGGCCAUCUUUCAACAAGCUUAUAGACAGGGAUGGAACAGUUUCGUGCAGAGGACCGAUAGGAAACAAUGGAAUUUGAUACUCUUGCUGGAGCCUUGCCAGUGAUGAUUGUUAGAGGCAGUCCAUGCUGUUCCAAAUGAUAGCUGAAGCCUGAAGAUGACCUUGAAUCGUGGGCUUUCGCUACUAGUUGCAGCAAGUCGUCCAAACAUUUGAAGUUGCUAAUGGGUAGAUCUUUAAAUCUGAGGGGUUGAAGUCCUGGUAAGCAUCGUAGAAUCUGUACUCCGAUAGGUCAAGCAUCGGAGAUCUUAAGGUUAGUUUAGACAUUGGCAAAAAUUACGAAAACCAGAGUCAUCCAUUUCCCGUAAAAGGGUUAAAAUGGUAAUCAGUUAGUUGAUCGAUAUUAUGUAUUUACAUCUCAUAGUUUAUGUCAAGACAGAAGUCGAAAAGUUGAGAUGUCUGAUUGUUACCUUGAAUUGGAAUGUAACCAUGUUUUAGGAGCCUAGGAAUUGCUUGGUAAGUCAGCGUGUUUGCGGCACUGCUAGUAAUCAAUAUGAUGCUAGGCAACCCUAUAUGAUUAGCCAACUCUUCUGAAUCCGAGCCAAUGACUCCUGCAGUGGGGCUUUGUAGUGGCGUUAAAGCCUGAUAUCGCAGCUACAAAGUUGUAGGACGAGGCAUUUUGCUCACAUAAACCAUCGGACAUCCUGAAGAAGUCGAAAUCAGGGUAGUCCGAUGGGUUGAGAAAGUUGAACACGGUAAGAGAGACUGAUGUCGAAGCCUUGGAGACCAGUUGAAGCAUUGGAGUUAUGUGCCCUUGAAACGUACAUGGAACCAGUACCAAUCUCUGGCUCAUACGUUGUUUUUCCAUUGCUCUUAAGAUUUGUGUAGCUAUAAGGGAAUACUUCAACUAAGUUGGAUCCUCAUUCCUUGUAGCUUAUAAAGUAGGUUGCAUAGAAAAGUCAGUUCUCAGUCCUUUGUAUGGAUGAUUAGGAUGCUAAUUAAGUUGGAAAUUAAGGAUAUCAACUAAAUUUCCUAGAAAUUGGACAACCGUCUUACGUUGAAGAAGUGUCCUUAUAUUAAAAUAAUAUAGAACACCUUAGGGGUAUGAUUUGGGAAAAACAUAUUGGGAAGGAAAUUCGUUGGUAGACAAUUGGCUUUAUGAAGUAAUCGUAAAAUGUAAGGAGUGGUGUUAUAUCCACUCCUAUGUCUUAUCUCCCCACUCACCUUAUAUUUACACCCACCAUAAAAAAUGAAGAAAAAAAAUGCUCUUAUUCCCACUCACCAUUAUUUCCUAAAUAACUCUUUCUGUAAAACAUAGUUAUAAUUUAAAAAAUAAUUAUCCUUAAACAAAUAACCAAACAACUCCAAAUUUCACCACCCCCAACACCCAGCUGCCCUCCUCGGUCGCCAACCAUCACAGCACUACCACGUUCCGAAAACCGCUCCAGUGCCCAUCAUGUUAAACCCCACCCCCAUUUUUCAUCUUAUUUCUAUUUUUUCCCCUAGAACAUAUUUGUUAUCUAUCAAUUUAGUCCCUUAUUCUCUUUUAAUCCUAACCUUUGAUCUAGAAAUGUUGUCUCUCUUAGACUGCCAUGUGGCAGCUCUCAGAUCUCUCCCUUCUUCCCUCUCUUCCCGAAACACAUCUCAGAACCUCUCUCUUUUUCUGUUUCUUCUCUCUCUCUCUAACUCUCAAAAACUCUCACACUCUCUAAGCUCCGAGAGCUUCUCUCUAACUUUCACCUCACUUCCUUCACAAAUCAAACCCCAAAAACCAUAUAUUUGGAAUCCUUGAGACCUAACGAACUCAAUGGUACCCUUGCAUGCGCCAUCUGAGCACCGUGGGUUUUUCUGUCAUUGAAGCCGAGAGCUUCAAAGCUCUAAAACUCCAACCCAGGUAAAGAUUGUGUUCCUUCUUCAAAUUUCUGGGAUUAAUCAUGUUAUUUGUGUUGGUUUUAAGGUCAAAAUCGAGGGUUUUGACCUUACCUUUUCUCUAUGCCAAAAACCCGGUUCCGACGACGAACUCCGGCGAGUUCGUAGGUGUGUGUGUGUACAAGUGUAUGUGUGUGUCCGUGUGUGUGUAUGCGAACUGUGGGUGUGUGUGAGCAUGCUGUGCAUGCCGUGUAUACUGUGCGUGUAUGUAUGUGUAUGUGCAAGUGUGUAUGUGCGUGAACCGUGUGUGUGUGUGUGUGUAAGUAUGCAUGAUGUUGUGCGUGUGUGUGAUUAUAUAUAUAUAUGCAUGAUGCUGUGCGUGUGUGUGAUUAUAUAUAUAUAUAUAUAUGCAUGAUGCUGUGCGUGUGUGUGAUUAUAUAUAUAUAUAUAUAUAUGCAAGUGUGUGUGUGCAGCGCAUGCUUAUGCAUGCUCUGUGUGUGUGUGCGUGCAGUGCAUGCUUUGCAUGUGUGUGUGUGUGGGUGAGUAUGGGUUGGGCUCCAACCCAAACCACCUCUUGAUCCUAACCUAUCCAAAUCCAAGGCCCAUUUCCAUUUCCUAGAAUUAUAUUGUUGGGUAGUUUGAUUAACUGUACGUUCUUGUACUUAGGGGCAAUCAUCGCAACGUUUCUGUCUUCGCUAGUGGCGCAGCUUUUGACGGAGUAUUUGUGAGUGGACCACCUUCGAAAAUUGCAUGUUUUAUUGAUAGAAUUGCAUAAUUUAAUAGCAUGCCUUACAGAAUUAUUUGAUUUGAGGAUCGAUGAAAUUAUGCUACGAAGUUGUAUUUUAGAGAUGAAUUAUGUUUUGUGCGUACCUAGUGAACACUAUGCCGCCUGGGGCGAGGAUCUGGUGUUGGCAUUGAGGCCAGGAGAAAUAAUCCCUAGCGAAAGGCUGAGGGACACGGAGACAGGCAUUGGGCCGGGAGGGAGAUAUCUCUGGCUACGGGCACAGAGACUGAGGUGCAGGCAUUGGGCCGGGAGUAUUAUUAUUCAGUGCACUCACUAGCAGCACAACUUGUGUUAUGCUUCCUGACAUGAUUUCUUAUAUGAUUUAUGAUACGAUUUCUGAGAUUGAUUUGCAGAAUGAGAUUGAGUUGCAGAGAGAUAUAUGAAAUUAUUUUUAUGGCAUGCUACAGUUUUCUGAAAAGCUUAUCACUUAUUAUUCUAGUAGUUUUCAUUAUUAAAUUGUGGGGGUUAGUAUGUUCAUAACUGUUUUCGUACUAUGUAUGUAUAUAAACUUGGUCCACUCACCCUUGUUUUGCGCCCCCAUUCAGGACUUAGGAUGAAGGCACAUAACCCCGGCAUCAAGGUACUUCCGCAGCGGCAUCUUCGAGUCCUCUCGGGGUAGGACCCACUCAUUUGUUCAUUCAAUCUUAUCUUAGUUCUUGUUAGUGACUAGGUUUAGUUAUAUGCUCUGAACACGUUCCCAAAUUGUUAAUUCAUUGUUUUUAAAUUCAUAACCUGUAUUUAUUUCUUAUUCUUAGCUUUUGUAUCAAUUAAUGGCUUUCGUCACCCCCGGGUGUCGGCCAGCACGUGUCGGUCCUGGUAUUCGGGGAAUAUCAGGGUCGGGGCGUGUCACAUCACCCAGCAGCCCUCCUCAGUAUAACUAUUAUUAUGUGGCAAUAUAUGAUUUGUUGGUCUUUAGAUCUUUGAAAGUCAUUUUAUACAAGGAUAAAAUUAUCAAUAAAAUUAUUAUUUUAAGUGGAUGGAGAGAUCAGACAUUGGGGUGGACUUAGUAGCACUCAAUGUAAAUAAACAAACAUAGAUAAAAGUAUAGCCAGUUCAAUGCGAGAGAAAAUAAUGUUAGGGCAAUCUUUGAUUCCCUUUUAAAAAAAAAAUUAAAAAAAUAAAAAAACCUUCCGUAGAGUAGCCACAUUACGAUUGGUGGGUGAGGCCAAAUGGGAAAAGAGUGUGUUGUGUGUGCGGGCAGAUGGUAGAGCUGCCAUGCUAUGGUUGGUGGGUACGUAAGAUCAAUGCGGAGAGCACAAUUAUGUGUGCUGGAAGAUGGUCAUGUGGUAGGGAUGCUCGCAAUGAAAUUUUUCUCCAAAAGAUGGAUGGAUAAUUGUCUAUUGUUUUGUAUAUUCGGUUACACAAUACCUUCUGUUGUUGGGUUACUGAACUAAGGCAACUCACAUUGUUGUCCUCCUCACAGCCAUAUGUGAUGUUUGGGUACAAAUUGUUUGGGUUGUGCAUACAGCAAAAGGUCGUACCCAGUGCACAAGGCUCCCGCUUUACGCAGGAUCUGGGAAAGGUGAAUGUCGGCUAGCCUUACCCCCAUUUAUGGAGAGGCUGCUCCCAAGUUGUGCAUACAGCAAACCUAACUAAAUUAAAGCCAAAAUCUAGUUGGAGCCUUUUAGUACCCUGUCUCUAACUGAAUCAACCACGCCUAUUAAUUUGGUGGAAUGAAUCAAUGAAACAAGAGCAGAGAAGAGCAACAUUUUUUAUCUAUGAUUUGGUGGGGAGAUGUUCUGCUCGUCACUGGAUGUAUACAAUUGUGUCAAUGACUCUAUAUAAUAAAGUGACGAGGAAUAUAUACAGACACAAUGGUGUAUACAUCUGGCGACAAACAAAAGUUGGUUUGGAUUUGGAAUCAUAUCAACAUGCUCCAUUCCUUAAGUUCUGGAUUUGUGUUACCAACUAAUGCAUAACAAUAGGACACUUUAUUCAAAUUUGAGGUGGACUACAAAGAAAUUCUUUCUUGCAUCCAUCUGCAGGAAACUUUUUUUAAGGUUGUGGUAAAUACAUAUAUUUAAAGUGACAUGAUAAGUUCUACAAGCUUAUUCAAGAAUUUGUAGGAAGAACCACCAUUCCUUAAAGAAACUUCUAUUUUCUCCUUCAAAUCCUUGGCCCUAACCCUCAUCACCUCCCCAUCAGCAUCUACCAUCAGUUUCCUGACAGCUCUCUCAAUCUCUCCUCUCUCUAACUCAUUGUCUAAAUGUAGCCCUACUUUCCAUACUUGGCUAACAUACCUUGAAUGCACCUUCUGAUCGCCAAAAGACGGCAGGCAUAUCAUUGGAAUCCCUUCUGACAAACUCUCUAGCGUUGAGUUCCAACCGCAGUGGCUCCAAAACCCUCCUACUGCAAGAUGGGACAAAACUUCCCUCUGGGGUGCCCAUUUUACAAUGUAACCGCGUUCUCCAAUCGCUUCUACGAAACCUUGAGGCAAUAGCUCAAUCCCAUCUGAACCACUUACUGAGCCAGGUCUUAUCACCCAUAAGAAAGGCUGCUUGCUGUUAGCCAAUCCCCAAGCCAUUUCUGUGAGCUCUUUCUCACUGAUGGAUGCUACACUUCCCAAGCUUACCUAGAUAACCGAGUUGUUAGAUUGCUUGUCGAGCCACGCAAUGCAGCUGGUGUCCACUUCUAGUAAGCUACUAGAAGCUGCUGCUUCAAUCUUGUGUAAAGGACCUAUGGAAAACUUUGGAACUGGGCAUUGUUGCUGGAUCUGUGCUAGUGAUGAUUGUUCAAGACAAUCAGUGGUGUUCCAAACGAUUGCUGAUGCAGUCCUAACAUCGCAUACAUUAACGACUAGUUCUGAGUACUUUUCGAAUGUGUCAAAGUUGGAGGUGGGUAGAUCUUUCAACCUGAGGGGAUGAAACCCGGGCACCGGACUCAAUGACUGAGAGACUGCAAAGCCAAUGGUGUUGUUCUUAGUUAUAAGUAAGAAAAACGAAUAUCUGGGAUAGAAUAGCUUUUGCAGAAUGAUAGACAUAGUAACUGUAUUCUGAUUAGUAAAUAUAUGGCACAUAUAUACCUGGGAAUGGGAUGUGACCUUUUGAACGAAGUUGUAGGACAGCAGUACGAGCUAGAAAAUUUGUAACGCUGGUAGUUCGUAACAUGAUAUUUGGGAUGUUUAGAUCCUUAGCCACAGCUUCGGUGAAGUACAUAAAGUCAUCAUAGAUAACGCAGGUGAUUUUGUUCUCGGGUUCCUGUUCCAUAACUUGAGUCAAGCGUUGUCGGAAACUCGCUUUGCAGUUGGCAUUUAUAGCCAGCAGAAUGGCUACUAAAUUCCCAGAUGAGAUCUCUU
rnacentral:lncRNA from 1 species